rnacentral:lncRNA from 1 species
UCAAAAGCACUUCAAAGCCAUUGACUCUGACAUUAUUUUGGCCAGCAUGCCGAAAUCGGGAACCACAUGGCUUAAAGCCCUCACCUUCAGUAUUGUUAACCGCAACAAUCAUUCAGUCGAUGACAGCCCUUUGCUCUUCUCCAACCCUCAUUAUCUCGUCCCUUUUCUCGAGAUAUAUCUGUACAAGGAUGGUAAUAUUCCCGAUAUAGACUCUAUGCCUUGCCCACGAAUCCUCGCUACUCACCUCCCUUAUCAAUUCCUUCCUAGCAGCAUCUUGGAUUGCUCCAAUUGUCGAAUCAUCUACCUGUGCCGAAACCCUUUGGAUGUGUUCACUUCGUUGUUGCAAUUCUUGCUGCAAAAUGGUCUUAUUUCAAGCCCAUCGAUGUCUAUUGAUGUACCUUUUGAAGAGUUUUGUCAGGGCAUACACCCGUAUGGUCCAUUUUGGGACCAUUGUUUGGGAUAUUGGGAUGCAAGCUUGAAAAACCCUCAAAAAGUGUUGUUUUUGAAGUAUGAGGAUCUAAAAAAGGAUGUCAAUAGCUCCGUGAAGAAGAUAGCCGACUUUUUAGGAUAUCCAUUUUCAGCUGAGGAACAGGAAGCCGGUUUGGUUGAAGAAAUAGCAAUGCUCUGCAGCUUCGAAAAUCUUAAGAAUUUGGACUGUAACAAGGAGGGGGAGAUACACGGCGCUUUUAGAGUUAAGCAUAGUUCCUUUUUCAGGAAGGCAGAAGUUGGUGAUUGGGUAAAUGUACUAACUCCUUCCAUGGCCAACCGACUUGAAAAAUUGUUUCAAGAAAAGCUUGGGGAAUCCGGGUUGACGCUGGAAAUCAAGAGCAAAUAGAUCACUAUGCGUGUUUCAUGUGAGAUUUCUCAUUAGAUUGUCAUGCAUGUUUCAUGUGGAUAUCUCUCUCCCCUCUUGGACUAGUUCAGCAAAUCUGAUCAACGGUUCAGCUCCAAAAACGAGAAAACAAAAGAGAAGACCUAAUACGCUUAUCUUCAACUAUUUGUUGCUUAUUGCUGUGUAAUGGUUGUAUCAGUUACUUUUCAUUCAGUUGUUGUAUGACUAAAAUAUCACAUAUGCGUGCACCAAAAUAUCUUUAUCAUUUUGACUGGGUUCAUUCCCUUCCUUGUUUUUUUCAAGCCGAAAUGAUAAAUAUGCUCAUAGAAUCGUGCUCAAAAUGUUUCCUGAUAGUAGGACUAUUCUCAUUUGAAACUCCAAGAAAAAAGGACAAAAGAAAAUAUUUGGGACUUAAGUCACAUAAUGGAUUUUAGUCAGGAGAACUUUUUGUAAAUCCUGUUUUGUGUUGUUUUUAAUCACUAACGAUGAAGUGUAUUGUGGUUUUGCUAUUUAGAGUUUUUGUUUAUCUGAACUACAAGUUUUUUUUUUUUUUUUUUGGCUUUCGUGCUUUGUUGGGGUGCCUUCACAAGCUCAUGAAUAAUCUGUUCAACCAUGUUACCAUAUACAUCAACAUAUGUAAGUGUUCUUGGGGAUUAAACCGUUCACCAUAUGUUUCCAAUUUUGACUUUGACUCGAUUAUCUCCUUUUCUUACUUUUCCAAAUGCAAAUGACGUCCUCACAGAAUUGUAGCUCAAAAUUUUGUGUCAUAAUGGUAAACAUCUCAUAAUGGUGUGUGUGAUAAUGGUACAGUCGGUUAUCUCUCUUUCUUACUCUUUUUUUUUUUUUUGGUGAUAGGCUCUCUUUCUUAGUUCUAUCAAUUAAUUUAAUGAAAAGGUAGUGCUUUAUAUCAGUUUGCGCGUACAUUGCUUUUGUUUGGGAGGCAAGUUUUUUUUGGCCUAUUCUUAAUACACAAAAUUUUUUUAUAACUUUGUCUCUAAUAACUUUCUAAAACACACUACGGUUUUUCAAAAUAUACACCCCAAAAAGUCAAAAAUACACAAAGUUUUUUCUUUCUUUUCUCUUUUCUUUUUCUUCCUACGUCGUUUCAACCCACCAAUAUCGACUGGCGUUCCGUGGCGGAGCUAGAAAAAAGUCUUAGUGGAGGCAAAAAUAACACUAAAAUUUUUUAUCUACUCUUUUUCUAGUUUCUUAAGCAAAAAUAAAUAAAUAAAUUCACCAACAAGUACAAAUUAUACAUAUAUUCCCUUAAAAACAUAAAAAGACAAACUCAAAAUUAUUAAUGUAAUAAUAAUUUUAUUUCAAAAACAAACUAAACUAUUUACAAUUGCUCACGACAAGUUUUCAUAUUUUGAUAACGGUUUAUAACUUUCUCAUUUUGAACUUCACAAAGUAUAUUUUUCUCAAUAUAAGUAACUAAACUAAAUUUUGUGACUCAUUUUUUCACAUCUUUUCUAAAAAACCUCUGGGGCACAUUUAAAAUUAUAUCAAAAUUGUAUAAGUAUUAUAGAAAUUUAAGAGUGCAGUGGGGGCCGUGCCCCCACCUUCAAUCCGCCCCUGCUGGCGUUCCGCAAGCACCCUUCUUCCCUCUUCCCUCCCUACAACACCAUUUUUUUCUCUCUCCCUCUCUCUAGUCCUCCCACUUUCCCCUCCUUUCUCCCACCUUCACUCCUCCUAUCUUCUCCUUUCCCCCCUCCUUCUCUUCCCCCUCUCCCUCGCCUCACCCCUAUUUCUCACAAAUUCAUAGAUACUGUGAUUUUUGUCACCGACACAAUCUAAAUGUCUAAACUUUUAAUAAAUUGAGAGAUUAUUCACCCUUUUAGAUUUUAAGGGAAAAUAUUAUCUAAAAUUUAAUGAUAAACUUAAGUUGAAAUUGAGAGGUUUAUUUAUGUUAGAAGGCUAUUAAUGAUUUGCAGACUUCUAUGACUCUUAAAAUUACAGUGUAUGUAAUAUUUCGAUACAUAAAUAUGCCCUAACUCUUGAUACCUCAGCCAAAUUACACAAACAAUGACGACACAGAUAAGUUAAAAAUAAAGACUUAAUAUAGAAUGUUAUUAUAUUUAAAACACUUCAACUUUUAUCUCUGGUCAACUAAUUCGUUUCACAAUGACUUUUCUUCACUAACCAAAUGCCACGAGAAAUAUCCAUCUUUUAUCACAAGGAUAGUCUUUUGCAUAAUUAGAAUCUUGAAAAAUCACAUAAUUUUCAAUCCAUCCUUAGCAUUAUUAUGGGAUCAUGUAAUUCUAAUGCUCGACUCAAACUCGAUUAAUAGAGCUGUGAAGCUAGUACCACCCAUUUGUUGGAUUUUUUUUGCUUUGGCACUAUUAUUAGUUAUCCAUAAAACUCUAUAAUGGUGUGUUCCAUAGCGAGAUAGACACAUCCUAGAUUACAAUUUUUUUAAUUUUGAUUAAAAGAUAUUUUCACGAGCACUUCAGGUUUUUUGUCUCUUUUUUCUGAGUUAUAGUCCGGCAAAUAGCUUCCAAAUUCGAUUAAUUUUCAUAUGGACUAACCAACGUAGUUCCUUUUCAUUUUUCUUGUUCCUUUUUUUUUUGGGAGAAAGGGGGGGUGAGUGUUUGGAAGACUGGCCCAUAUUUAGACUGACACAUUAUUAAUGGUGUCCAGAUGUAUUUUUUUUUUCUGGCAACGAUAGAUGUUGUAUAACUUACAACACCUAGUCUAAGGGAAGGGGCAGGGGGAUGGUCAACUAAGACCAGCCACAUAUUGUGGCCAAAUUGUGGGAGGCAGGGGUUGAUCCCCUAACCUUCAGCAUCACCAUUAUGGUGAUGACCACUGGACCAAAUGGCCAAUGGCAAUGGUGUCCAGAUGUAUAGGUAGCUCAAUAAUUGACAAAGCAACUGAAUGCAAGUCACUUUCUCUUGUCUGCAACAAAGUCGGCAAUAAAUAAUCCUUAAAAAACAGUAAGGAUGAUUGACAAAAAAGAAACAAAAAAAGUGGCUAUAAAUAAUAAAUAUUGUAGCAGUAACAAGUUUAAUUUGAUUCAGAGUUUUAGAUGAUUGAGACAUAGGGAUGGUAAUGAGGCAGGUGGCUCUGUUUUUAAACUCGGAUCGGACCGGCCGAUCCGACUAGUCGAAUCGGGAAUGUGCCAAUUGUUCGGUCUGAGUUAAUCCUAAAAAUUGGAAAAUAAAAAAUUCUGUCAAAUCAGGUCAAAAAUCGAGUUUGAUUGGAAAAUAUGAACCCAGUCUCUUUUUUUUUUUUGAAAGGUCAAAAUAUUUUUAAUAUUAUGUUUUGACCCCUAAGUUAUUAAAAAUUAUUAAUAUACUUCAAAUAUUUCAUACUUUAUAAAUGUUGUCUUAAAGUUUGGUGUUAUUUUUCAAUUAAAUCCAUAAUUUUAAUUCUAAACUUGUUAAUGCUCAUUAAAUAAUAUAAAAAGCUACUUGAUUGUUCUAAUUUAUUUGUAUUUUCCUAUUAAAUAUAUUUGAGACAUCAAAUAUAUAUAAAUAUACCUUUAUUAAUAUUAACAUGUUAUUAGGUAUUUUAUGUGAAGGCCCCCCACUUCUCCCAAGGGCAAACCCAAGGGUAUUCGCGGGACGCCCGUCCAACUCUCGCCAGGACUCAAGACAAUUCGAAUCGAACUUAACGAUACAUACCAAAAUACUACAAGUCAAAAUAAAGAAAAGUCACUUCCUUAACUAAAUAUUCAAAUCUUAUAUCAUGUUCACAAAAGGAUACAUCGAGUCCCAAAAUACAACCAUUAAAAGUCAACUACACAUUUACAGCCCAGAUUCCAAUCAAAAGUAUAAUCUAGUCGGCUUUUCCAAAAUCUUCCAAUCCAACCUGUUAAGGAAAACAAACUAAUGGGAUGAGCCAAUACUUAGUGAGGCCAGGAAACACACAUGCAAACAUAUAAUCCAAGUAGCCACAAAUUACAUAGUAAGUAAAGUUAUAAAGUUCGAAUAAUUCACAUUUCGAAUAGGAAAAAUAAACAGAAACAAUUCAAGGAUACUGUAGCUCUCAGGAGCUAAAUUCCACGUAGUCGAGUCGAAGUUUUGAUCACAUUGCACGUUGACACUCUGUCAACCACAUAAGUAUCAAAUCCAUAGAUACACCACUUUUCUUCGAAUCCCGUCACCGUUACACCCCUUACCGGGCCCGCUCAUCAAAGUUUUUUAUAAUACUCGAGUAUAUCAUGGCAAUAUUGCACGAGUAAUGCCAAGCAAGAUCUCUCCAAUAGAUCAUGCUCUACGAAUAUCUCAUGGUUGGCUAAGCUUAUCGACCAAGCCCAUGCUGGCUCGAUUCGCAAAGUUAACCAACGAGUUUGGGCGUCCCCCGAAUACGAAUACGAAUAUAAGUCAACGAGCAACGCUCAAAUCGACGAUUCCAAAUAGGAAUCACAAAUACGGAUCACAUAUACGAAUCAAAACAAAUACGAAUCACAUCCACAUUACCAUGUACAAGUCGGAUAUGAAUUCAUAUAGCAAAAUUCGAAUAUAAAUUCAUUUGAAAGAGCACGAGUGCGGUAAAGUACACUCUCGUCUCAAAAUUUCAAAUUUUCAUAACGGAUAAGAAACAGAUAACCACUUAAUAUCAAAUUCAUGCACUUGACACUCACCAAUCGAAACAAGGGAGUAAGUGCGUAAACGAGCCUUUAGGUGUUCCCCUCGAGAUCCUCUUGUAGGUCUCCUUGAGCACCUGAGCAAAUAGUAAUUGUCUAUUACACACUAUCGCUUAAAACCCCUAAUUAUCGAGGAAGAUUGCACACUUGUACAAUCUAAAAAAAUUUCACGAAAAUGAGCCUUAAUUACUCGUAAAUCGAGGCUAAAAAAUGAGGUUUUAAAAUACAAGUGAAAUCUGAUUUUCAUCUUUGAAAUCAAGUGUAAAACGGUUUAGCAAUAUCGAAGGAAAAUAGAGAGUUCGCAACCCUCAAUUUCCUUUAAGUUCGGAAAUUUCAGAUUUGUCACCCAUAUUUUGAAAAAUCGUAUCUCAUUCUCUACAAUUCCAAAAUUGAAAAACUUAGUGCCAUUGGAAACUACUUCCAAAGUACUAAAAGUUCCUAGAAGACACUUUUCCAUGAUUCUAAUUGGAAAAUAUUCGAAAUUUAGCCCAAAAUUGCUGUUUUAGAAAGUCAAGACAGAUUUGGGUUGAUUUUUGACAAAGUUUGAAAAUUCGGCAAAAUUCAUACAAUUAAAGCUAGCCUCUGAAAUUUGGAACUCUAUUAGAGUUGUAAUCCAGGUUUAAAACAAAAUAAGUGGAAUGAGAAUUGAAGUUUCGAGCACCAAGAUAUGGUAGCUCAAAGUUACCCAAAUUUCCUUGUUAAACAAGGGUUUUCCAAAAUCACGUCACGAACUUUGGAACUUUAGUUGAGCAAUGAAACGGCCUCGGAAUAAUACCAAAAUUAGCAGUAUAAUACUACCAUAUAAGGGUUGUUCCUCUACCAAAUUUCAUGGAGAAAUAAGCACAGAAAGUGGGUUAACAAAACCGUUGAAAUCACAAGAAAUUCUAAGGCUAAGUUGCCUUUGAACUUCCGUUUUGUCGUUUCCAAACAUUUGGUCAAGGAACAUCUCAAACAUGGUUCAUUCCAUUAGAAAAUGUCCAAAAUAUUUUCAAGGUACAUUCGAUAGAUGAUUUACAAUAAGAAACUUUGGAUAACAAGUCCCAAACCGUAGUUAGUUUCAAAUCUGUCCAAAACACUGUUUUCGUUCACAAAGUCAGUUUUGAAUUUCAAUCAUAAAUCACUCAAUUCAACUCAGAAUUGAGAAUGGUUGGCAGCGUUAGAAAAUAGACUCAUAAGGCUAUAUUUUCUCAGAAGAAACUAUUUUCAAAAUCUAUCCAUAACAAGCUCAUACGUGAGCAUCAAAUCACAGUUCAUAAUCUGCCUCCCAGUGACAAACGAAACAGGACAGCAAUUUUUAAACGAAUGGUUUGGCUCACUCGAGAGGAACCAGAAUGUGUCUUUUAUACCAAAUGAAAGCUGGGAAUGUCUAGUUUCCAUUUCCACAAACGGCACUCAAAUCUGACAUCGGAGAGAUGAAUUAUAGCCGAAACAAGAUGACUGUCUGGUAGUGACGGGAAUCAUUUUCCAGUUUUCAAAACUUUGGAAAUCACUUCAUUUAACCAACUAAAUCAUAUUAUUUUUCCAUGAAACUUUUUACACAAUCAGUAUAACAUGUAAAAAACAUAAACAAGCCAUUAGAACCUCAAAAUCUUGUACAAAAGUGGUUGAACAAACCAGGGGCAAAAUGGUCACUUUUUCCCUUUGCACCUCAUUUGAGUUUCCAUCAAUAACCCAACAUUAAUCCACCAAUAUAAGCACUAAACCAACAUUACUUUCAUCAUCAAUCACCAAAUCAGUCCAUAUACCCAAGGUGGGAGUUUAUAGAGCCCACACGACCAAUUUUCCAUCACAAACAAGCUACCCAUAAACAUGUAAGGGCUUAAACGUGCAUUACUACUUCCAUGAAGCGAGAUUUGGAGAGUUGAUCGGGCUCACCUUCUUAGAUGCACAAGGACAGAAUUUUCGGUCCCCUCUUGGUCCAAGAAAUUCAUGAAAACAGCCCCUCCUUCUUAGCUAGAUACAAACUCCAAGGGUUAAGCUAGUGUAGUUCAAUUUUUGUGUGAUUUGGUGAUGUUUUGUGCAAGAAAUGAAGAGGAAAAAUUUGGAAGCUUGGAGUUGUUCUUCCUUCCUCCUUGGCCGCUGGAAUGAGAGAGGGAAAUGAGAGUGUUUGGCCGGCACUUGAGGUGAGAAGAGAAGGGUUUUGAUCUGGUGUGAUGCUCCCUUGAGAAGCCUAAGAAUGUGUGGCCCAAAAUGCUCCAAAAGUCAACUAAGGAGAGUGCGUGUACGCUCGCGUUUCGUGCUCAUUUCCUCUUGGAUUUGUUUCACUUGUGCAUUAAACCUUUAAUGCACUUAUAUUCAUACUAUUAUUAUUCACUCUUAAUAGUCAAAAAAUAAAGCCCUUAAGUCCCUUAAUUGAUCGCUCGCGUAAAAACGCGUACUUCCAAUUAUACGCGAUAGAGCGAAAUUUCUAAGAAAUUCUUAUAACGAUAGUAUUACUAACUAAUAAUUGAGCACUUAAGCAUAAAAAUACCUAUUUUGAAACUAAUAUACAAGUCUCCAAUUUUUCAAACUUUUUGUAUCUUCAAUUCAAUUAUUUACUCCAAUCACGUAUUCACUAUUCUCACUUUACGAGUUUUCAAAAAUUAAAUUUUGAAACAAAUCACUUUAAAAAUAUAAUUAAGCUAUAGAAUCAUGUAAUUAGGUCUAAAUAGACUAGAAAAUAAUAUUCAGAACAAAUGGGCAAUUAAAUAUUUAAAUAAGCUCGAAAUGGAAUUUAAAAUAAUAAAUUUUAUUAGUCCUCACAUGAGUCGAGUUUUAACUCCUCAAAUCUCAAAUUAACUUUUCUUAAUCUACUAUUGCUCAUUCUUACUUCUCCAAAAUUAAUAUACUCUCGAUUCAAAUAUAGUCUCGAAAAACGUGUACUCGUUGUUCCGAACUAAACGAGUUUUCAAAAAGUAAAUUUUCUAACAAAACGUUUUAAAAACAUAAGAGAGGUGUUUUUUCAUAUAAAUGGAUUUUAAGUAGUCGAAUUAAAUAAUUCGGAGAAAUUGAGUAAAUAAUAUUUAAAUAAACCAGUAAUAUAUGACAAAAAUAAGAAAAUUUUCGGAUCCUCACAUUUUACAUAUAAUAUUUUAAUUUUUAAAUAAUUUUUAUUUAUGACAUCAUCCGAUUCAAUCCCAAUAGAAUCUGGUUGAACCCAUUAACCCCUAACCUCUGAGCUCGAUCGAGUCGAUAUUCAGUCCAGUUCUGAAAACAUAGGCUACAGGCACCCAUCUCGCUGGGGGCUAAUGGAGCAAGGGGAUGGAGCACCCCACUUAGAAAUGGGGCGGGGGGGCGGGGACAUGCUCCCUCGCUCCACCACCUCGCCCUGCCACCCACUAAAAAAAAUAAAUGUAUAAAUAAAUAUAUAUGUAUAUAAUCAUAUAUAUAAUAUUUAAUUUAAUUAGUUACAAACUUAUGAUGAUGAUAUUAUUAGUUAUAUGUAUUAUAUAAUGCAUAUUAGUAUAUAUAAUAUAAUUGAUAUUAUUAAUUAUACUAAUAAUUAUAUAUGUCUACUAAUAGAAAUUAUUAAUUAAUUAUACUAAAUUUACUAAUACAUUUAUACUAAAUUCUUAAUUACACUUAAUACAAUAACACUUUUUUCUCAAAAAAAAAAAAUACACAAGUACAAUAAUGAAUUAGUGAUUGUAUUUGCGCUAAAAGUGAAAACUUGACUACUUUAGUUAUAUUUAUUCCAUUAUUGUAUUCAAAUAGCUUUUGUUUGAUUGUUUUUAUAAGUUUAAAUUGUGAAAUUACAAUAAAUAACAACUUGAUGAUAUGUUAAUAUUUUAAUAUUUUAAUAUUUAUUUGCUAAAAUUUGACUAUAAUAAAAUUAUAUAAUAAAUUUUUAUUAGUUUCGCAAAUGUCCCUGCAAGAGAAGCAGGGCGGGGCCGGGAAGGGGCUUGGUGAGAUUUCCGAGAACGACAAAUAAAUUUAUUCUGAUUCUAGGAUUGAUCCAACCAUCAAUGUACAUAACAAUUGAGUUUUGCUAUAAAAUCAUUAAUCCAGAGUUCAAAAAAGUAACCAAACAUUGGAUUACGCUUUGCUUGCAACCUUACUCCAUUCCUUUCUUUUAUAAAAAGGUCCAACUUUAUUUCAUUUGAUUGUCCGUGAUCCCAAGAUUUUCAAAAAGUAGGAUUAUAUGUAGAAAUUCGAAGGCGAAGCUGAUAUUGGUCUGUUUGGUUAGCUUGAUUUGUUUAAAAAAAAAAAGUCAAAUAUUUGUCAACUUGUAUCAUAAACAUAAUUUUCAAUCACAUUUUUACCUUACACACAUCAUACUAUAAAAAGUGUUAUAGAGUGUUAUUCCAAAUAAUCUCUUGUCCAAACACAUUAUUUGUUGUGGGAUGAGGAACGGAUGAGAUAAUUGAUAUUAUGAUUUUUUUUAAAAGUUAUUUUGCUAAAUUGAAUUCUAAUUAAAGGUUAAUAUUCUAAGCACUUUUAAAAUGUUCGAAAAUGUACUCAUUUGUUUCAUUUGUUUUUUUCUCUUCUUAUGAUCUGUUAAUAUAUGUUACAUAAUACUAGUAAAUAAUAAACAAAGAAAAUAAAAAAUAAAAAUUCUUUUAUUUUAUUUUUUUUAUUUUGUCGACACGGUAGUUUGUUCUAUUCUAUAUCUACACCUACUCUACUAAGAGGGAAGAGAUGGAUUCAAAUGGGUCAAGAGAGAAUCUGAAGGGAACUGUGAAAUUUUCAAAAAAUACUAAAGGUGAAUGCAAAUCAAGAAAUUCAAUCCCAAAUCUCUUGACCUGCACCAAGAAGAGCCUUAAAACUCUUUCGGCAGCCAACGACUUUAAAGCAAAGGUGGUUGGUUCUUUUACGCUGUAGUACUUGGUAAGUGCCUGAUCUGUUGCACAGUGAGAAAUGGACCACGUUCCCAAGUCAGCGACUGAGAACUGAAAACUGAGAAGUAGCUACGCAGGCUUGAAGUUUUAACAAAUUGAGUCAACAAAGAGCAGUAAUUGUUUUAUUGCCCUUGCUGCUUUUAUUCCUUGUCGUUGUCCCAACAAAGAGGAAAUAAAAAAAAAGAAGAAGAUACUGAUCACUUGAAUCCGAAUCUGCGAAUCCCAGAACGUACUUGAGCACAACAAUACCAUCUGCAUCUUCUUCUCUCCAUCCUUGCAUCGGUUAUUAGUAAGUUAAUCUAUCCCUUUUUGUUUAUCAACAUUUGGAGGAAUUAUGCUUAGAAUUGCUUUUGAGAAGACUUAAUUCAAUUGAUAUAUAACCAAGAGAUCAAUAAAUCGCAUUGAAUCCGAAAUUUUUUGGGUUUUUGACAUCAAACCAUUCGAUCAUCCAACCAUCAAUUUACCCCAGUUGAAGUAUUCAAUCUGCCGUGUCUGUUUCAUUGUUACAUUUCUUGCAUUUCAGUUUCUUGGUCGUAGGAUAUAUGGUUGUUGGCCAAAAGAGAAAAAAGGAAGAAUCUUUUUCUGCUUUUCAUUUUGGAUGUGAUAUUGGGUUUUUGAUGUAAACUUUAUUGUUUCUGCCUUAUUAUUUUAUGAAAUAGAAUUAGCUGAUUUUAACAUGAAUGAUAUUUGAGCAGGAUUGCUUCUGCUCCUGGAAAGGUUUUGAUGACUGGAGGUUAUCUAAUUUUGGAGAGGCCUAAUGCAGGGAUUGUCCUGAGCACAAAUGCACGAUUUUAUGCCAUAGUGAAGCCACUUUAUGAGGAAAUCAAACCUGAGAGUUGGGCUUGGGUGAGUCUUUUUUUUUUUUUCAUAUUGUGAACUUUUCUUUCAGUAAUAAGUAUUUUCCACUUCAUUCUUUAUUAUGCAAGUCAUAAGUUUGAAUACUAUUUGUCCGAAGUUUACUCCCUGAGAAGAAUGCUUGGUUCAGUAGAGGAUAAAGAAACCCAUAUUAUUUAAGAAAGUUAGAAGCCCUAUGAAGUAAUUAAUUUGGUGCCAUUUGAUAACCAAAUGAUAAAAGGACUAUGUCUUAUAUUAGGAUGGGCUUUAACGAGGUUACUUGAAUUGAUCUUUUAUUUGAAGCAGGCAUGUUUUACCUAAGUUUCUUCAUUCUUAAUCAACCUCUCUCUAGUAUGUAACUGUAUGAAGUGUCUUUUUUCUCUACCUAUGUAUCUUUAACCAUAAUCAAUUUAUUUCGCAGAAUUUGAAUAGAGUUUGUUCUUAUUAACUUUUAGGCAUGGACAGAUGUAAAAUUAACUUCUCCACAGAUGUCGAGAGAAACUAUAUACAAAUUGUCCCUCAAACAUUUAACUCUUCAGCCUGUGUCUUCAAGGUAAGUCUAUCUGUUUUCACGCCUUACGUUGGUCGAACUAUAUCUGCUGAUGUCUUUCCAUUUAACUUCAAUCAUUUUUGUUUGCAAUUUUACAAUUAGAUAUAUGUAUGCUUUUGUGGAAUUCUGGAUUGGAUUCGUGUUUUAAAAACCACAUGCAAAGGAUUCAUGUAUUAAAUGGAAUUCACUGGAGUAAUGCCUUAUGUUGUUGGCUUAAUAGCAGUGCCUCAAGAAACCCCUUUGUAGAACAUGCGGUCCAAUAUGCAGUGGCAGCAGCUCAUGCAAAAUUUGGCAAAGACAAGACAGAUGCAUUACAAAAGAUACUUUUGCAAGGUAAUGUCUGACAUUUCACUCUUCAUAUUUGUUCGUUAAGCUGAAUGAAUAUAAAUGAAUCCAAGUUGCUGAUGGAUUAGUCAUGCAGGUCUUGAUAUUACGAUUCUAGGAUGCAAUGAGUUUUAUUCAUAUAGGAAUCAGGUAUUUCACGUUUCCUGUCAUGUAUCUUCAAGCCGUGACAGCUUAGUGGUGUUUAGUGAUCAUUUCCUUCUUGUCCCUCUUAACACAAUGGCUGUCUCUAAAUUAGUGGUUGACUUGAAUCAUAUCUAUGCACCAAAAAGCAAUUUGCUAGUUGUUCGAGUGCCAGGUUUCAUAAUAAUAAAAGCUUACUCAGUUUGACUCUUGCAAUUGAUGUUCUCUUAGCUUCCUUCGGCACAAUCAUCUAUUACUUAUAUCAUUGUGAGGUUCCUGUUCAUGUUUAGCAAAGAUUUGUAGUUCAAUAUCUUCUUGAGGUAGUCAUGCUUUCCAGUUAACUAACCAAUAUAAGAAUGGAUUUUGUUAUUUGGAUCUUAUUGUUUCGUAUAUGUCACUGUAUACUUUCAUAAUUGAAUGAAACUUUUCUAAGAUCAACUUAUAUAUGUGAGAUUCUGAAGUGGAACUUUCCCUUGCAGAUUGAGAAACGACUACAAAAAACUAAAUUAGAUCAGUCUUUUAUAUUAGGAAAUUUUAGAUAUUUGAAGCUGCUGACUCUAUCUAAUUGAAGAAAAAUGAUGUACUUACUAGAUUUACCAGACCCACUGAUUUUAGGAACUCGUGUUAGCAAAAUUUAUUUUCUUUAGAACAUUGAUGUAUACUUGUGAAUUUGAAUCAACCUCUGUUUCCACAUAGGACUUGAUAAAGUUUUUUUUUUGGCUUUCGUGCUUUGUUGGGGUGCCUUCACAAGCUCAUGAAUAAUCUGUUCAACCAUGUUACCAUAUACAUCAACAUAUGUAAGUGUUCUUGGGGAUUAAACCGUUCACCAUAUGUUUCCAAUUUUGACUUUGACUCGAUUAUCUCCUUUUCUUACUUUUCCAAAUGGAAAUGACGUCCUCACAGAAUUGUAGCUCAAAAUUUUGUGUCAUAAUGGUAAACAUCUCAUUGGAAUAGAAAAACUGAAAUUUGGGAAUUAACUAUGGUGUGUGUGAUAAUGGUACAGUCGGUUAUCUCUCUUUCUUACUCUUUUUUUUUUUUUUUUGAUAGGCUCUCUUUCUUAGUUCUAUCAAUUAAUUUAAUGAAAAGGUAGUGCUUUAUAUCAGUUUGCGCGUACAUUGCUUUUGUUUGGGAGGCAAGUUUUUUUGGCCUAUUUUUAAUACACACAAUUUUUUUAUAACUUUGUCUCUAAUAACUUUCUAAAAUACUCUACGAUUUUUCAAAAUAUACACCCCAAAAAGUCAAAAAUACACAAAGUUUUUUCUUUCUUUUCUCUUUUCUUCUUCUUCCUCCGUCGUUUCAACCCAUCAUUAUCGGCUGGCAUUCCGCAAGCACCCUUCUUCGCCCUCCCCCCUCCCCCAACACCAUUUUUUUCUCUCACCCUAUCUCUUGUCCUUCCGCUUUUCCUUCCUUCUUUCUUCCUCCCUCACUCCUCCUCUCCUCUCCUUUCCCCCCUCCUUCUCUUCCCUCUCUCCCUCACCUCACCCCUAUUUCUCACAAAUUCAUAGAUGCUGUGAUUUUUGUCACAGACACAAUCUAAAUGUCUAAAGUUUUAAUAAAUCGAGAAAGUUUUCACCCUUUGAGAUUUUAAGGGAUAAUAUUAUCUAAAUUUUAAUGAUAAACUUAAGAUGAAAUUGAGAGAUUUAUUUAUAUUAGAAGGCUAUUAAUGAUUUGUAGACUUCUAUGACCCUUAAAAUUACAGUGUAUAUAAUAUUUUGAUACAUAAAUGUGCCCUAACUCUUGAUACCUCGGCCAAAUUACACAAACAAUGACGACACAGAUAACUUAAAAAUAAAGAUUUAAUAUAGAAUUUUAGUAUAUUUAAAAAACUUCAACUUAUCUCAGGUCAACUAAUUCGUUUUACAAUGACUUUUCUUCACUAACCAAAUGCCACGAGAAAUAUCCAUCUUUUAUCACAAGGAUAGUCUUUUGCAUAAUUGGAAUAUUGAAAAAUCACAUAAUUUUCAAACCAUCCUUAGCAUUAUUAUGGGAUCAUCUAAUUCUAAUGCUCGACUCAAACUCGAUUAACAGAACUGUGAAGCUAGUACCACCCAUUUGUUGGAAAUUUUUUGCUUUGGCACUAUUAUUAGUUAUCCAUAAAACUCUAUAAUGGUGUGUUCCAUAGUGAGAUAGACACAUCCUAGAUUACAAUUUUUUUUUGGGAAAAUUCCACUUUACUCUCCUGCGGUUUAACCUUUUUUUAUAUAACCCUCUGACGUGCGCAGGGUAUACAUAUCAAUUUAACCUCAUUCUAAUCAAGUUUUACAUUUAUAAACUCCUAAACACCCCACACGCGAUUUAUCGCAAGUAUACGAAUCGUGAGCGAGUAUAGGGUAUUAAGGGUCGAUCCCACAAGGAAGAUUGCAAUUACCGGUACUACUAAAGCUUCUCUAUUAUUUAGACUAUCAAUGAAUUAUAACAAAUUUUACCUACUCAAAUUAUACAAAAUAACAAACAAAAGCUCCUUAGGUUGUGGUAUCCCUAACUACUCAUGCAAGUGUUAUAUUUGGAUCAUUGAAUACUACAUCUAGGCUAGUUAUGGUGUAAUUUCCUUAUGCAUGUGAAACCUACUUUCGUAGUGAAUCAACUAUACUCAUAACUAAUCCAUACCUAUUUUCAUGGUUAUGAAAUUAGCUACAAGUUCAUUUUUUCAAUGAAAUUACAUGAAAUGAAUCACUAAAAACCACAUAAGUGCACCUCUACUUUCGUGAGUGUACUCCCUAUGUUUAGCACUUCUUGAACUAGUGUUAAAUCUCAAUUUUCAUUGCAGAAACAACACCUUAGAUAAUCACAAUCAAUGGUACCAGAUUAAUCAUGAUUUAAAGAGCCAAAGUGCUAAAUAACUUGCUCAAAUCAUAGCAAUCAAAUAACCAAAUAAUAAACACUAACAAUUAUAGAAAGUUCAACCAAACCCAAGGCUUAAACUUUAAACACACAUAUUGAACACAAAAUCCAGAACUUGUAUAUUAACUAAACUUGGAAUCAAAUACAAAAGAUAAAGAGUUUGGAAGGAAUACAACCCUUGUCACAUGAGCUUUCUUCCUUGCCUUCUUCAUCCUCCAUCUUCAUCCUAAUCCUUGUCACAUGAGCUUUCUUCCUUGCCUUCUUCAUCCUAAUCUAGAUAAUAAACAAGAAUGGAAAAGCUACACUACUCUAUACUAAGCUAAACUAACACUAGGGAGAUGAAAGAGCUACAUUUCUACAGACUCCAAGCUUCUCCCGUAGCUCCCUCUCUAUUUUUCUGCUAUCUCCUCUUCUCUUGCUCUCUACUUCUUGGAUCCUCUCUCUUGCAAUGAAUUUGGCUAUUUAAUGAUGAAAGGUUGGUCAAGAAAUGAUGUUUUCAACUCCCUUUUACAGCUGGUAAUGUCUCUCACAUGUCUAGCAUCACAUGUGAGUUGGUGGAGGUGAAAUUGAGUUUUACGCGUAUAAAGCAGCCUUUUCUGACCAGUGAUCCGAGCUGCUACAGUGCCUCGGAUCCAUACGGAGCUCGGAUCCACUAACCCAGAAACAGCCGAGGGUUCGGAUGAAUAGUGGAUCCGAGUGUGGAUCACUUGCUCUAUUUUUGGCCCAACUUCAACCGAUCUUUUCUUGAUGUUAGAGGCUGAACCAGCUCAUGUGUAAAACACGAAAGUUGUAGCCUUUUGAGUUAUCUUUCCAAUGCAUCAAGAAUCACCUCAUUUGGAUCUGUGUAGGCUGAGAUAUGACUGAAAUACCCUUGUCUGCUCAUUGCCCUGUUUCAGCUUCGACCAACAGAAAUUAGCUAAUGUAAUUCGGAUUUUUGAUUUUGAAAACCUUCAAACUGGAUUCGGAUGUCUUCACCAAAGUUGUAGAUCUAUCUCUUAUCUUCAAAUGGGUUCAAGAAUCAUCCCAAUCCGAUCAUUGUAACUCAAGUUAUAGCCGAAAUACGAAAAUGUGUCAAAACUGUCAAAAUACACAAAAUCCAAGUAAAAAGUGAUAAAAACCUCAUUUAAUCACUUAAAAGCAUUUUUCACCAAUUAUAGCCAAAAUGAUUCAUAUUCUUCCAAUAAUAUAACCAAAGUGACUAAAAAUAAUAUAAAAUGUCAUACAAUUAUUACGUAAAUUAGUCACUUAUCAAAUUCCCCCACACUUAAAUCAUUGCUUGUCCUCAAGCAAUUCACACAUAAUCAAAUGCAAUGAUUCAAGAGGUGAAAUAAUAUAUGCACUUUGUCCAAUUUAAUUCCUCAAGACUUGGAAAAUAAUCAUUAUACAAUUAUUCAAUUUACACUAAAUACUCAUAAUAUCAAGUAAAGGAAAGAUAAUUAUACCCUAAAUUCAACAAGUUAAACUUAAUCUCUUACCCUAACUUAAUUUUACAAAUAAGCAAAUCACAUAGUCAAUUUAUAGCUUUCCUCCUCCUAUAAUCAUCUUUUUCUCAAAAUUCUAUAACUAAGAGGGAUUUAUUCACACAAAUUUUACUUAAAUAGUGAGAAUGCCUUUUUACGCGAAAAUCGACACUUUUAGGUGAAGAUCCCCGGUUACUCAACAUUUCACUUAUUCAAGUUGCUAUGCAUACUCUUAAUUCAAGUACCUUUUUACGCGAAUGUCGACAUUUGUUGAUGCCAACUCCCGGUUACUCGGUACAUGAAUCAUUGGAGUAGAACAAUUUUUAUUUACUUUCUCUUUUUUCUCUUUUUUUUUUCUUUAUUUUUCCCUCAUAGAAAAAAAAAUAUUUAUAGAAAUAAUCAAAGGAGGAGUAUAACCUUUAUCGACUAUAUCAAUCACUUACUUGCAAAAUUAAGUAAAGAGAAGAAAUCUCAUUAAACAUGUAAAAUUAUAGGCAUAAUUUUCCUUACUUUACCAAAUAUACUUUCUAAAAUGUAAAAAUUCUAAUUGCAUAAUACUAUUUCCAAGUUAAAUGAGGACUAAACCUUCCAAAAUACAUAUAACAUUUCAACAAUUGGAAGAAUAAGGUUGGAACAAUUAGCCCUUUUUGAAUGAAAAUGCAAGAAUUUGAAGAACUUUUGGGCCAUAGUGAAAUAUUGGAAAAGAUUUUAGAAAAAAUUUCACAGAGUUUCUCCUUAUAAAUGGAUGAAAACUCCCUGCCAACAAACCCAAUUUCAAGCAAAUUAUCCACAUGGCAAACAUUUCAAACACAAUUCCAACAUUUCUAAGCAUUUAAAUCCACAAAAUAUCAUCACAUAGGCUUAAAAUGCAAGUUCAAUAAUUUCCUCCCCCACACUUAAACUUCACAUUGUCCUCAAUGUGAGAAAAGGAAAAUAAAUAAAGAGUAAAAGAAAAUACUGCUCAAUUGAACUUGCGCAAUCCGAAUCCAUGUCCAAGUGAUGAAUUUCCAACUGUAUUUAAGAAAGAGUGGAGAGUUCACUUAUUGCACCCUGAAAAAGACAAAAUAAAAAAAAUAAAUUUCUUAAAAAUAAAAGGUUGCAAUCAACAAAAUCAUUCAAUUUAAGGAAAAAGGAAAAAUGAUCAAGCAUGUGGAACCAUACAAUGUUCAAGGGAUAAAAACAUGAAAUGAGCUAAUCUUUGCUAAUCAAAUAUAUGCAUUAGUAUCCAAAGCAAAGGGAAGCUAAUUUCACACAAAAAAUCCACAAUCAUGAACAAAAUAAGUUCCAUUUAUACAUUUUGUCAUCAAUGAUCAAAUCCCCGCAAGUACAAAAGCAAUCUCAAAAUGGAGGCGAACACACCAAGCCAAAAUAUAAAUGACCUUCUUGAGAAUUCAUGAAAUACUAGAAACCAUUGAACCACAAGGAUUAUAAGCGCAUUUAUGAAUUUCAUCAAUUAAGGUCAUCUUCAAUUCACCUUUUCUUUUAGAAUUACCUAAGAAUUCAAGAAAUUAUUCAACCAAGCCCCUUUUCAUUCAUUUAGGUAAUCUAAAUUACUCACAUGAAUAUCAUAAACUCCCACAAAGCUAAUUAAAAUGCUACAUUGGCCACUUAAUAUGCAACUUUGUCACCAAGCCAAAUUAGGCAUAAAUUUAGCAAAAAUUCACCAAAUAAUUACAAACUCAUGAGUUAAACAUCACCAAUAAUCAUCAAUAAGUUCAAUAAGCACAAUGUAAAGCACCAAACUUCAGUAUACAGAUUAACUAGUAGUUUAGGGUAUAUAUCGGGUCGAUCCCACAAGGAAGAGUGAACAAUUACCGGUAUUACUAAAGCUUCUCUAUUAUUUAGACUAUCAACGAAUUAUAGCAAAUUAAAACCUAUUGAAAUUAUACAAGAAAAUAGCAAAUAAAAGCUCCUUAGGUUGUGGCAUCCCUAACUACUCAUGCAAGUGCUAUAUUUGGAUCAUUUAGUACUACAUCUAGGCUAGUUAUGGUGUAAUUUCUUUAUGUAUUUGAAACCUACUUUCGUAGUGAAUCAACUAUACUCAUAACUAAUCCAUACCUAUUUUCAUGGUUAUGAAAUUAGCUACAAGUUCAUUUCUUCAAUGAAAUUACAUGAAAUGAAUCACUAAAAACCACAUAAGUGCACCUCUACUUUCGUGAGUGUACUCCCUAUGUUUAGCACUUCUUGAACUAGUGUUAAAUCUCAAUUUUCAUUGCAGAAACAACACCUUAGAUAAUCACAAAUAAUGGUACCAGAUUAAUCAUGAUUUCAAGAGCUAAAGUACUAAAUAACUUGCUCAAAUCAUAGCAGUCAAAUAACCAAAUAAUAAACACUAACAAUUAUAGAAAGUUCAACCAAACCCAAGGCUUAAACUUUAGAUACACAUAUUAAACACAAAAUCCAGAACUUGUAUAUUAACUAAACUUGGAAUCAAAUACAAAAGAUAAAGAGUUUGGAAGGAAUACAACCCUUGUCACAUGAGCUUUCUUCCUUGCCUUCUUCAUCCUCCAUCUUCAUCCUAAUCUAGAUAAUAAACAAGAAUGGAAAAGCUACACUACUCUAUACUAAGCUAAACUAACACUAGGGAGAUGAAAGAGCUACAUUUCUGCAACUUCCAGCUUCUCCCGUAUGUCUCUCUCUAUUUUCUGCUAUGAACUCCCCAUCUCCUAUUUUUGCAAUGCAUUUUGCUAUUUAAUGAUGAAAGGUGGUCAAGAAAUGAGGAUUACAUCUCCCUUUUACAGCUGGGAAUGUUUCUCACAUGUAUAGCAUCCAAUGUGAGUUGGUGGAGGUGAAAUUGAGUUUUACGCGUACAGAGCAGCCUUUUCUGACCUGUGAUCCGAGCUGCUACAGUACCUCGGAUCCGUAUGGAUCCGAGCUCGGAUCCACUAACCCAGAAACAGCCGAGGGUUCGGAUGAAUAGUGGAUCCGAGUGUGGAUUACUUGCUCUGUUUUUGGCCCAACUUCAACCGAUCUUUUCUUGAUGUUAGAGGCUGAACCAGCUCAUGUGUAAAACACGAAAGUUGUAGCCUUUUGAGUUAUCUUCCCAAUGCAUCAAGAAUCACCUCAUUUGGAUCUGUGUAGGCUGAGAUAUGACUGAAAUACCCUUGUCUGCUCAUUGCCCUGUUUCAGCUUCGACCAACAGAAAUUAGCUAAUGUAAUUCGGCUUUUUGAUUUUGAAAACCUUCAAACUGGAUUCGGAUGUCUUCACCAAAGUUGUAGAUCUAUCUCUUAUCUUCAAAUGGAUUCAAGAAUCAUCCCAAUCCGAUCAUUGUAACUCAAGUUAUAGCCGAAAUACGAAAAUGUGUCAAAACUGUCAAAAUACACAAAAUCCAAGUAAAAAGUGAUAAAAACCUCAUUUAAUCACUUAAAAGCAUUUUUCACCAAUUAUAGCCAAAAUGAUUCAUAUUCUUCCAAUAAUAUAACCAAAGUGACUAAAAAUAAUAUAAAAUGUCAUACAAUUAUUACGUAAAUUAGUCACUUAUCACCCUCCUAUGGUUUUAAAAACUAUACAUAACCCCCUUAUGGUUUGGAUUAAAGUGUCAAAGUGACGGGAAUGACCAUUCGUAACGGAGUCACCUAAAAUGUCAAAAAUACCCUUAUGUAAAGUUGAAAAUUAUUUAUUAACCAAGGGGGGUUAUGUGUAUAUUUUGAAAACCAUAAGGGGGUUAUAUAGUAAAAUAAAAAAAUCAUACGGGGUUAAUGUGUCAUGUAUUUAUAAAGGUAAUUUCGAUAUUUUUAGAAAUUCCGUUACGAGUGACUAUUUUCGUCACUUUGACACUUUAAUUCAAAUCAUGAAGGAGUUAUGUAUAGUUUUUGAAACCAUAUGGGGGUUAUGUAAAAAAAUGCUAAACCACAGGGGGGUAAAAUAUAAUUUGCCCUUUUUUAAUUUUGAUUAAAAGAUAUUUUCACGAGCACUUCAGGUUUUUUUUUUCCACCCGAUUACAGUAGCUUUGCCAUUUUCACCCGAUUCGCUCACUUCCUUGCUUUUUGAAGGCGAACUGAUAAAUAUGCUCAUGUAAUCGGGCUCAAAAUGUUGCCUGAUAGUAGUACUCUUCUCAUAUGAAACCACCAAAAAAAAGGACGAAAGAAAAGAAUUGGGACUUGACAGGUGCCGAACCUGUACAAUAAUAAAUACCUACUCGAGAAAAAUACAGAUUUUGUAUAUAGCGGUGAGUAGGGUCGAGUCCACAGGGACUGGGGAUAAUUGGUUUCUUCUAGAGUCCAAAGUAUGGGGGGUUUUGGAUUAAAUGCUAACUAAAUAAAUUAACUGUAGAAAAUAAUUAAUUAAAAUAAAUGAUUGGGGAAACUCUAGCCAAGGGUACACAUCAGAAAUGGUUCAUGCACUGAUCAUUGAUUUACAGAUAAUUCCAACAUUUAGUAACAGAUUAGUUAUAGUUGUCAUGCACGCGAUAAACAACCAACCCUUCCUUAAUUUCUUGAUAGCUAAGGUACGACCGUUAGCUAUUUCUCUAACCCAAAAAUAACCCCAGGUACGACCGUGGAAUUUAAUUUCUAGAUUGCAUUAAUAAUUAGAAAGGCCCAAUCCUAACCAACAAACACGCUAUGAGGGUUUGUUUAAGCUAGAUCAUAUGCUCCCCUGACAUAAACCCAAUUACGCCAGUUGCUACUGAGGUAGAGAUAACGAACAAUUACGGAUUCAAUUACCCCUAUUUAGCAAAAUAGCCUAUAUGAAUAAUUAAUUAUUGCGCACUAAUCAAUCAUACACAAGAGUUAUAACAGUUAAAAGCAGGAAACAUAUGAAUACCAAUAAAUAGAGGAAACAAUUAAAAUAAAUUCGAUCUCACAGUAAUUGUUGAACCAAGUCUUCAAUUGUCCCCUUGACUAGAAUUGAGAGGUUAGUCCUCCAUUAAUGGAGAACAACCAUGCGAAAAAGCUAAGAAAAGAAAACUAAAACUAUGCUAAAAGCUUAAACUAAAACUAUUGAUUGAUAAGAGUUCUCAGUACGUUUGUCUCCCUUUUUAAAGCCAAAAGGAAGUCUAAUGCUAUCUCUAGUGGUCUCCACACCAAAUUCAAAGUCUUGUACGUUUCUUUUCCUAAAGUCCAAAUGACUCAUGGUUCUUAUCCGUGGUCCCCACACAUGUGGACAAAACCUCCAAAGUACUUGUUGUUCCAAGUCUCUCUACGUUGCUUUCUUUGAAAAGCCCAAAUGACUAAAUGCCUUGCACUAGCUUGUGGUCCCCACCAAUUCAAGAGUCCAGGGUCCUUAGAAGUCUCCAUUUUCCCAUAAAAGUCCCUCCUUUUUGGUAAUUUUCUGCUUUGUUCCUGAAAUUAAGCUCCAAUACCAAAUAUAAGUAAAUAUUAAUAAUUAAAACAAUAUUUGGCAAGAAUAAAAGGGGAAAUUAACAAUAAAAUUACUAACAAUUAACACCCUAUCAAUUCCCCCCACACCUAAAUCAUGCUUGCCCUCAAGCAUGGGAACAACAAUUGAACACCAAAAUUUGACCAUGGCUGUUACUCUAACUACCGUAUUGCCAAGACACCAAGAAAAUCAUAUAUCAAACGACACAGGUCAAGAUCCAAGAAAAAUCACCCCGGUUAGCAUCUAAACUACCAACUCCUCCAAUUUAAAGCAAACUAAUCUAAGAAAAAGGAAUGGUUGCUCACAUUUAUCAGCAAACGGUCCAAUUACUAACCAAAAUCUCGACAUUAAGAUCACAAAUAGGCAAGCUGACUUUUUUUUUUAUUUUUUUUUAUUUUUUUUAAUACUAACACAAACUUUACUUUACUCUUUUUCACAUUCUUCCACUUUUUUUUUUCCAAUAAAUGACAAAAGACUUAGUUUCUAGCUAUUAGAGCCUUUUGACGCGAACUCCAACAUUUGAUAGAUGGAGGAGCCCGGUUACUCAGCUCCAAUCGCUACGGGACCACGCACUCAUAGCAAUCACUACCUUUUGACGCGAGAAUCGACACUUUAGGUGAAAAUCCCCGGUUACUCAGUAGUGAUAACUAGCGGAGUACAGUCACCCUUUAUUUACAAUCAUAUAGCACGAUAUCUAAAAGCAACACAAGAUUAACAGCAGCCAGCCUCAAAUUUCCAGACAUGGAGAACUAAAAUUAAUAAAUGGACCAAUUUACAUGAAAAAUGCUAACAAUCAUUCCCCAUGCCUAGAGAAGUUAACCAAAAAUAAGAAAAGUUAAGCAAUUAUUGAUAUUCACCAAAGAGAUGUUCCUGAACUCAACUACAUCAACUUGAUAUCCUUUUAUUACUAAAACUUGGCAAUAGCAGAAUUAGAAACAGCAAUCCAGUAUCAAACUUGGUAUUCACAUAAAACUGAUCACUAGUAAAAGUAAAAAGAAAAUAAACGAAAAAAUAGAACAAAUAACAACGAAAAUAAAGGAAAAAAAACUAAAAACUGAAUACCAGAAAUACCAACUGUACCACAGCUCUCCCCCCACACCUAAAUCCGACAUUGUCCUCAAUGGAGAUCAUAAAGUAAAGAAAAGCGAAUAGGACAACUACACUUCCCUGAAUACGUGGUGGAAGGUCUUGGGCAGCUAUGGAAUAGGUGGGAACGGUGGAGUGAAAAUGGUGCUACGGUAGUGCACGGCAGUGAAAGAUUGCAGAGGGGAGGAGAGCUCCGACGUGCGUCUUGAUCCAGGCGAACUAGAGUGCAACAGAGAACAUCAAACCAGCAAAUUUCCAAACAAUGCAGCAGUUUCAAUCAAUGGCCGAGGACGUCCAACAAUGUGCUUGAACGCAGUCAAUUCCAACGAAUAUGGCGAUCAAACAGACUAGAAGCGGUAAUAGAGUCUAAAUAAAUCAACAAAUCGCAACAAAUGAACUCAAUUUUACCCAAAAUCGCAACAAAUGUCCCCUAAAAUUCAGCAAGUCUAGUAAUAGCAGGUUAGAAUUUAAGCAAUAACAACUUAGUCACAAGCUCUGAGCUUUCAGUCAAGCAGCCAACCAAGGAGAACGAACAAAUGCAGUCAAAAUAGGCGAAAUUCUCAACAAAGCAGCUAUUACAAACAAUAAGCAAUGGUGGUCCGAAUGUUAGUCAAUGCAGAAAUAAUGCAACUCAAAAUCGCUGCAAGUACUCCAAUGGGCUUAGCAAUUGAAUUGAUAAGGACUAAAUACUCCCACACAAGGCAAAUAGAGGCAACCUACUUCAAUAAGCAAUGGAAAUGGCAUGGGAGCCAUCCAAUGCACCAAUUAAAUGCAAUAAACCCCAACCAAAGGCAGCUCAAUAGACUCCAGGCAGAAAGUACCAAAUGAUACUCACUUGACACCAAAAACGAUCCCAACAAAGCAGCAAGAUCGAAGGAUACUCAGUCACAGAUGCUCAAUCAUAUCGAAAUAAGAAAUUGUAAGCAAAUUAGCACAACCAGUACCACUGGUGUAUACACAGGAAAGAAGGGAACCACAUGGCCAACCCAAUUAAUAAAAAGCACAACUGAGGCACCCCAAAGGCUAGAAAAGUACCCUAACAACACAGCAAAUUGAAUGAAUAUGCACUGGGUCUCCAAUUCAGUCAAAAUAAGAUCAAGGGGCACGAUACAGAAACUAACAAAGCAGAACUCAAGUGAUACCAGUAGGGACCCCAACAGAGCAAUGAAUUCAACCAAUUGGAGCAAGUGAAACUCAACAAAUGUCACCAAUUGGACAUUCAAUUACCCACUUCAAGCGACCAAACCUAGCAAUUGGGCCAAGCAAUAGGCAAUUCUAGCAACCACCGUUUAGGAUUUGAGAUACAAUUUAAGCACUAAAACCCAAGAAUCAAGUAGGCAGUCAAGCAUAAAGGAAUAAGAAAUUUUAGUCAACACCACAUCCAGUACCUCCGCUGCAGGUUCAGGAAAAAAAAAUUAAAUCAAAUGGCCAACCCACUGCACCUGAUAAAUCCGAACACACCAAGUAGCACCAAAAAUGAGCAGAAAUCAAAACAACAAGCAAUUGGAAACUACCUCCUAAAUCAACCCCAACAAUUCCCAAACAAAUGAACUGGCACAAGAGCCGUCAAAUUUUAUCUCCCAGAUGCAAUAGAAAUCUCAAGUAGUCAAAACCCAAACAAUAUUCAACAAUAUAAUCAAUACCAGAGAGCACCCCCAAAUGAGGUAGCAAAUAAAUUGAAUUUCACCCAAAAUUAGCCCCGGAAAAUGCCCAAAUCACCUCCUGCUUGUAUCCAUCAAGACACCCAAGAAACAAAAACGUAAAUUCCAGCAAUUUAAGGACCAGAGAAAUACUAAUCAAGGUGGAAAUUGGAAUACCUCCACCUGCCAAUUUUGGGCAGGUGGUGACGCGCGGCAAGGAGGUGGCGAUGGUGGAGCUGCUGGAGGUUGGCGUGAGGUGAGGUGGAGCUGAUGAUGGCCGCGGGAGAGAGAGAAGUGAGGUGGGGGUGGCGUGUCUGUGGACAGCGACGCGCACAAAAGGAGAGGGAGUUGGUGGUCAGCGGCGUGCAGUGAAGGAAGAUGGAGGUGGCUGCUGGCGGUGGAGAGUCGUGGAAGUGCGGCGGCACCUGGUGGCGUUGGAGGCGCGCGAGCUCAGGAGGAGCUGGGCGCGCUGGUAGCGGAGCCGCGCUGUGGGUGGACGGCCGCGGGCAGAGCUUAGGAGGAGGCGCGCGAGCUGGUGGCGAGGCGGCGGGCGGCGGCGGACGAACAAAAGAAGAGAAGGAAAAGUGGAAAACUGGGGAACGGCAGAGAAGAAGAAGAAAAGGAAAGAAAAGGAAAGGAAAGAAAGAAAAGAAAGGAAGAAAGAAAAAGAAGAAAGAAAGAAAGAAAAAGAAAAGAGAAAAAGAAAAAAAAUAGUUUUUGGGAUUUUUUUUUUUUUUUUGCACACUCAAAUUUCAAACUUCGAAUUGUGAGAAUCAAAACUGAAGGUGUAAAACGGAAAAUGUUUUUAUUUUGAAUUUUUGAAAUUUUCUCUUUUUUUUUUUUUGGUCUUCAAACACCGCGUGGGCACGCCAAGAUUGCACUUCCUGCCACAGUAGAGAUUGCACUUCCUGCCACAGUAGAGAAAAAUAUGAAGACCAUUACUACUCAACUGAGAAACAAAAAAAAUGAAAGAAGUGAACAACGAAAAAUAAUAAAAUCAAUAUUUGGGUUGCCUCCCAAAAAACGCCCUUCUUUAAUGUCUUUGGCUAGACAUUGUUAUGUCUUGUUCAUGGAGGAUAAAAUCUUGUGGCUCGCUUCAAUGCUUCAUUUUCAAUGUGAUCCUGAUAACCCUCAUAGAUGGAGUAAUCCUUCAGCACACGAGCUACGAUCUUCUGUGAACUAGUAGAUGGCUCCAAACCGGUCAACAAUAAUCUGGAUUCUUCACUCACUCCUCCACCACGCGCAUUUAUCGGUUCAAGAUAUUUCGCCAUCUCCACUCUCAACUUAUUUCUGCCAUGAGACUCAAAAACUUCCGGUAUAACAAAAUCAAUCUCAUUAACAGAAAUCAUAGAGUAAGAGUUAGGAAAAUGCGGGUUAGGGAAUGGAGGUGGUGUCACCACAUUUGAUGAUUCUUCACUGGAUUCUUUCACUUGAACGGAUUGCAGUUGGGGUUCCAUUUCUUCCUUUUCGGCUUCUUCUUCAACUGCAUCUGUACAUCUCUCUUCUUGAAAAUCUUGCAGCUCCUCAUCACUAGUCAGGCAAAUUGCACUCUUAUUUUCUUCAAAAUCAACAAUGGUUUCCGAGGGCAAUUCUUCAAAUUGAGAAGCCAAUCGAUUUAUUCUGGAUGUCAAUAGACACAUUUGAUCUUCCAGAUUACUCAUUGCCUCCUUCAUCAUCUCAUUUCUCCUUUGUGUCUCCUGUUGGAAUUGAUAUGUAUUAAUAGCUAUUGAUUCAACUAUUUCUUCAAGAGACAUACCUGACAUAGAUGAUGAUUCUUGAGACUCAUACUGCUGAAAAUUCAUUGGCCCUGUUGUAUAAUUAUAACUGGAGUUAUCCCACCAUCCUUGAUCAUACCCGUUUGGAUUAGGAUUAUACCACGUUUGAGACCAGGGUGAAAAAUCUCCAUAAUUAUUGAAUGGGACACUCAGAUUAUCUUGAUAUUCGGGGCACAUACCGGUUGAAUGAUCCCUGGCAUAACAAAUUUUACAGGUUGCAGCAGCCAUUCUUUCUCUAAUAGAGUUUAGUGCCUCUGAAUACGCAAACUUAGCAAAAAAAGAAGCCUCAUUGCCUUCCCUAGAAACAAAAUCCAGUCUAUCACCAAAAUACGGAGUGUUAGAAACCAUAAACUAUAUAAAAAAAAUAAGAGGAAAAAAAAAUAAAAUAAAAUAAAAAAAUGAACUAAAAAAAGAAACAAAUUAAUCUGGCAUCAGUCCCCGGCAACGGCGCCAAAAAUUGACAGGUGCCGAACCUGUACAAUAAUAAAUACCUACUCGAGAAAAAUACAGAUUUUGUAUAUAGCGGUGAGUAGGGUCGAGUCCACAGGGACUGGAGAUAAUUUGUUUCUUCUAGAGUCCAAAGUAUGGGGGGUUUUGGAUUAAAUGCUAACUAAAUAAAUUAACUGCAGAAAAUAAUUAAUUAAAAUAAAUGAUUGGGGAAACUCUAGCCAAGGGUACACAUCAGAAAUGGUUCAUGCACUGAUCAUUGAUUCACAGAUAAUUCCAACAUUUAGUAACAGAUUAGUUAUAGUUGUCAUGCACGCGAUAAACAACCAACCCUUCCUUAAUUUCUUGAUAGCUAAGGUACAACCGUUAGCUAUUUCUCUAACCCAAAAAUAACCCCAGGUACGACCGUGGAAUUUAAUUUCUAGAUUGCAUUAAUAAUUAGAAAGGCCCAAUCCUAACCAACAAACACGCUACGAGGGUUUGUUUAAGCUAGAUCAUAUGCUCCCCUGACAUAAACCCAAUUACGCCAGUUGCUACUGAGGUAGAGAUAACGAACAAUUACGGAUUCAAUUACCCCUAUUUAGCAAAAUAUCCUAUAUGAAUAAUUAAUUAUUGCGCACUAAUCAAUCAUACACAAGAGCUAUAACAGUUAAAAGCAGGAAACAUAUGAAUACCAAUAAAUGGAGGAAACAAUUAAAAUAAAUUCGAUCCCACAGUAAUUGUUGAACCAAGUCUUCAAUUGUCCCCUUGACUAGAAUUGAGAGGUUAGUCCUCCAUUAAUGGAGAACAACCAUGCGAAAAAGUUAAGAAAAGAAAACUAAAACUAUGCUAAAAACUUAAACUAAAACUAUUGAUUGAUAAGAGUUCUCAGUACGUUUGUCUCCCUUUUUAAAGCCAAAAGGAAGUCUAAUGCUAUCUCUAGUGGUCUCCACACCAAAUUCAAAGUCUUGUACGUUUCUUUUCCUAGAGUCCAAAUGACUCAUGCUUCUUAUCCGUGGUCCCCACACAUGUGGACAAAACCUCCAAAGUACUUGUUGUUCCAAGUCUCUCUACGUUGCUUUCUUUGAAAAGCCCAAAUGACUAAAUGCCUUGCACUAGCUUGUGGUCCCCACCAAUUCAAGAGUCCAGGGUCCUUAGAAGUCUCCAUUUUCCCAUAAAAGUCCCUCCUUUUUGGUAAUUUUCUGCUUUGUUCCUGAAAUUAAGCUCCAAUACCAAAUAUAAGUAAAUAUUAAUAAUUAAAACAAUAUUUGGCAAGAAUAAAAGGGGAAAUUAACAAUAAAAUUACUAACAAUUAACACCCUAUCAGGACUCAUGUCUCAUAUUGGACUUUAGUCAGGAGAACUUUUUGUAAAUUCUGUUGUGUGUGUUUUUUUUAUCACUGAUGAUGAAGUAUAUUGUGGUUUUCCUAUUUAGAGUUUUUGUUUACCUGAACUAUAGGUUAAUUAGUUUUUGGCUUGGUAGCGACAGAAUCCACCAUUACUUGAGGGGACUAAGCAUUUCUUGGUGACAUGAGCUUCAGUGCUUUGUUGAGGUGCCUUCCUAAGCUCAUCAAAUGGAUUAGGGGCCUUGCUGUCUGGUUCUUAACAAAAGUAUCUUUAUCAAUGCAAUUCUAUGUUGAUAAAUCAAUAUUCAAUGUGAUAAUGAAUAUUGUUGUAUGCAAAGAGAUUAAGAGUAAUGACAUUUUCAGAAUCUCUUUCCUAUACCAACUUUUCUUGCCAACCCUGGAUUGUUAAAGUUGUGAACAUGGAAAAAAAAUGGUUCGAUGUUUUUCAUUUAGUAAUUGAAGGGGCUACAGAGCUUCCGGCUGGAUAUUCUCUUUACAUCAAGAAUCUAGAAAGCAAGAUUUUGCUCAUCGUUGAGAGGAUUUCAAAUGCAAAUUUGUGUCCAUACUGUACAAUGGUUAUAAACCACACAUUAGUUUGGGGGACCAGUUGAGUAGUUUCAAAUUGUUUGCAGAUAAUACAUGCUAAUUGCUCAUAAAUUACCCAGACAUUGAUUUUAAUUGGAGAAGGAGAAGAAGGGGUGAAACAAGUGAGGUCAGGUCUGUGGGCCUUUUAGUUUUCGGUGUUGGUUUGGUUUUAAGGAUCGGGGUCAGUGUAGGUAUCUCUAUUGAUCGCAAUUGCUUUUUCUUUAAAAAUUCUGUGUUCUUCUUUUUCAACAUAUACUUUUGCCUCAGUAUUCCAUAUCAGCCAAUGACUUCCUGGAUAAAAUUAACCAAAAAUAUGGCUGAAAGUUUUGCAUUUGAUUGCAGAUAUUGGACUUAGUUUUUUUUUUUUUUUUGGUGAUCCAGAGGAUAUGCUAGCCCCCCACACUCGAGUCACUUUGGACCUGAGGUGACACACCAAACCAGAGGAUAUGCUAGCCCCCCACAACGUACCCAGAUUAGACGGGAAUUCAAGUCUAGAAAAAAAUUUGAACUCAGGCCUUUGUUCAGUUCAAGAGCCCGCUUUACCACUAAACUACCCCUUGAAGGCUAUUGGACUCGGUUUUCUUUUGUGUAUACAAACAAAAAUCUUCGCUAAAGUUUCUGAUUUAUCCGUUUCUAAUUGUGAUUAUUCAAUAUUAUCUCUGUUUAAUUUUAGGAUGCUCAAUAAUAUUUCACAUUGAUAAAUAAACACAUUAAGCUCUUAGGACAAUAUGUUUUUGCUAUAAAAAUGUUGAAUAAUGUUAAGAAACUCUUUUGCUUUAAAUCGACUGGUCUCAAUUAAAGGAAUUAUACUAAUGUUUUUUCAUUUUGAUCUUUUCUUAAUAGAGAAAACUUGUCAUUUGCUAACAAGUUUUCUUUCCUCUUGUUGUAUCUUGUGGUGGGAGCAAUUAAAACUUUAAGGAUAGUGUUUGAUCUUGUCUCAAGAGUUGUUCAUUCUUCCCGUUUUAUUGUGAGAUUUUUGUUUAGAAAAAUUUCUGCACUUUUAAUGUGCACUUAUAUUCCCUCCUCGCUUCGGAUUGAAAGAAGGAUUGGAGCCAAUCUUACUUACCAAGAAUGCAGGCGUUAUUUUUUCAUGGUUCUGAUGACGUAUGGGCAUUUAAUCCAGAAAAGGAGUCCGUCUUGGACAUUGACCAGUUACGAACAAAACCCAGAAACUUCUCAAUCCAGUACCAUGCUAUGCUUCCGUGUAUGUAACUAUGCAUGUUGAAAGUUUAUCUUGGGUGAACUUUAAUCCCUUUUAGUUCUUUGCACUUUUAGACUCCUAGUACUUAUUCUAGUAUCUAUUGUAAUUUCAAGAUCAGGGCAAUGCGCAUUACCUAUCAAGUCAGGGUAUGUAUUGUAUUGAUGGUUCUUAUAAAUUGCCUAUCAAUAACCCGCCAGUCAACAGCGGAUUCAAACCUAGUGCUCUUAACACAAGGGCCAAUUUUCUACCCAGUUUAGCCGCAUGAUGUUUUAGAGAGGCACCCAAUUGGCUGUUUUAUUGUGGAAUUGAGCCUAGUUCUAUUAACAAUAUAUUGGGUUUUUCUGCAUAGAUUGUGAACGUAGUUGUGUGUUAGUCUAUAAGUGUGAUAACCUCAAUUCUUGAAGAUUUGAACUACCUUUUAGGGUGAGAAACCUCGAUAACACUAAGAGUGGCAUUAAAGCAUGAUUAAAACAAUAUUUUGCUCUAUUAAACAGCUAGCUUUUCUCAUAUGAUCAGGUUGAUGAUCAAAUCUCACCUCAGUUCGGAUUGACAAACGUGUUGGAGCCAAUCUUUUUUUUUUUUUUUUUUUACCAAGAACGCAGAUGUGUUAUUUGACAAUGUUUGGAAUGAUGUAUGGGCAUUUAAUCCAAAAUAGGAGUCAGUCUUGCAUCUUGUUAAUUGAAUGGCCAGACAAAAGCCGUAAUAAACUUCUCAAUAUAGUACUAUAAUGCAUUUGGAUGUGUGUUGGUUGAAAGUUUAGCAGUCUUUUUGUGAUACGAUUCAUUAGAGGCUAAUUUAGAGCUUUCGGUGAAACUUAAUCCUUUUUAAUACUUCUCACUUUAUUGAAAUUUUUUAUGUAAUUUUUAUCAUUAAUGAAAUAAUUUUUUCUUUAUAAUGGUCUCAGCACGCAGCAACCAAUUGGCUGCGCCAUUGUGGAAUUGGGUAUGGAAUAUUUAUGAUCAAUUAUUUGGGUUUAUCACACAGAAGUCGUAAAAAUGUAAGGUGUUAGUUUAUAGGUGUGUGUAAAGAGGAUAUUGAUUACAAGAAGUUACCAAAAACAACUUUGACACAAUUUUAUCCUUAUGAUCAAGUCCAACCAAGAGUUCGAUGUCUGGGACCUGGCACAAGUAUACAACAACUUAACCUGAUUAUAUGUUCAGAUCUCGUAAUGUAGCCAGUUUCAGUGAUACACUUGACAAGUUUCCAGUUGUCUGGUUCGCUUAUUUAGACCAACCAAAAAUGGAAGAGGGGCAGGAACGGUACCGUUCCUGUCAAUUUACGGCCAAGAUUUGGCCAAAAAAAGUUGUACGAUCCAGAUUUCAUUUUGUAUCUCGAUUUUAAUAAUAUGUGUGGGAUCUAUAAAAUUUUGUUCUAAAAUUACACGUUGUUAAAAGUAAAUUACACUAUAUACAAAUAAAGUUAUGCCAUGUGCAAAAUGCACAUAACUGCUAGGAACGGUUGCACCUGCUCCUGGUCCACCAAAAAUACUCAUCUUUGAAAUUCGUGCUACCAGGCUAUGUCUUGUCCAUCAGAAUAGUAGAUGGAUUUUGAUCUGUGUUUUAAAACUCGGACCGGAUCAGCCAGUUCGACCAGUCGAAUUGGCCGGUCCGAGUUAUGCUAAAAAAACCGAGUAAGUAAAAACCCGGUCAAAUCCGGUCAAAAACCGGGUUUGACCAGGAAAAAACCGAAUUUUUUGGUUCAAUCAGCAUUUAAAAAAAACUCAAACUUUUUCAAUAUUAUGUUUUGACCCCUAAAUUAUUAAAAAUUAUUAAUAUAGCUCAAAUAUUUCAUACUUUAUCAAUGUUUUCUUAAAGUUUAGUGUUAUUUUUCAAUUAAAUCCAUAAUUUUAAUUCUAAACUUGUUAAUGCUCAUUAAAUAAUAUAAAUUGCUACUUGAUUGUUCUAAUUUCUUUGCAUUUUCUUGUUAAAUAUAUUUGAAACAUCAAAUAUAUAUAAAUGAAUAUACCUUUAUUAAUAUUAACAUGUUAUUAGGUAUUUUACAUAUAAUAUUUUAAUUUUUAAAUAAUUUUUAUUUAUGACGUCAUUAGAUUCAACCCCUAUUGAACCCGGUUGAACGCAUUAAUCCCUAACCCCUGAGCUUGACCGAGUCGAUACCUGGUCCGGUUCUGAAAACAUAGAUUUUGAUUAUAUCCUAUGCAACGGUAGCUUGAUUUGAAACUGAUACAAUUCCAAUCCUAAUAAAGUAACAACACAGCCUUGAUUUUUUUUUUAUGGGGGAUUUGUUGUCAUGCCCUUUUAGUUUACUAGUAAUACGAUUCAAAUAAAAAAAAAGUUUAUUAGUAAUAUGUGACGUGCUUUGCACGUGAAUAUAUUUUUUGCAAUAUAACAUUUUUUAUAUACUACAUUUUUUUUUGAUAAAUUUUGAUUGUUAAUAUAACAUAUUCUAAGAAACUUUGAUAAAAUUUUGUAAUUGCCAGCCAUACAAAAUGUAAGCAUAUAAAAAAAAUUAAACAUUUGUCUUACAUUCGACCAUACAUUUUUUAAGAUGGAAAUUUAGCUAAGUUAUUGUCUAUUUUACUAGAGUUGCAGUAGAAAGUACGGAUUAAUUUUUCUGCAAAAUAUAAAGAUUUAUCCAUACGAGCAAUGAAAGAAGACGAAUCCAAAGUGAAUUUAGAGGGUGCCACUUUUUUCUAAGUAUUGAAAGCCCAAAAUCUUUCCCGAAAUUUGAGACCGCAUGCAGCACAAUGAGAAAGACGUUUCUACUAGGGGCGUGAAUCGAAAUCGAAAUCGGUAAUUCGGAAUUUUGAAAUCGAAAUUUUUUGAAAUUUUGGUAUCAGAAUUUUCGACCGAUUUCGAUUUUGAAUUCACCAAUUCCGAAUUCAUUAAAUUCUGAUUUCACCGAAUUCAUGAAUAUAAAAAUUAUUAUUAUUAUUAUACAAAUAUUAUAUUACAUAUAUAUAAAAAAAUAUUAUAUAUAUGUGUGAAAACGAAAUUGAAAUCGAAAUAGGAAUUCCGAUUUCACCGAAUUCAUCAAUAUAAAAAUUAUUAUUAUAAUAUAAAUGUUAUAUUAUAUAUAUAUAUGAAAAACAGAUUUGAAAUCGAAAUCGGAAUUCCAAAUUCCGAUUUCGAUUUCGAUGGAAUUCCGAUUUCGAUUUCGAAUUGUGAAUUCGAAAUCAAAUUUCUAAUUUGAAAAAUUUCAUUACCGAAUUCGACCAAUUCGAAAUCGGAUAUUCCGAUUUCCAUUCCGAAUUACCGAAUUCAAAAUUGCAAAUUCAAUUCGAAUUCGGUCGAUAAAUCGAAAUUUUUCGAUUUUGCACAGCCCUAGUUUCUACGAGUAUUUCAAUUUAAGUAUUUAAUAAGUUUAAAUUAAUGGCGCGACUAACGGUUGCCAGUUAGCAAUCAUUUAGAGAAGUAGUAUACUAUUAGGCGUUAAAUUUUUUUUUAAAAUAUAAUUUAUUUGGAAUAGUGUUUAAAUGUAAGGGGUACAAUAAUUAUAAUUGUGCAUAUGCAAAUAAUAAGUUAGAUAUGUAGUUUAAGUAUUAGAAUAAUUCUUAAACUUGUAUAUGAUAAGUGAUUAAUUUAUGUAAUUAUUGUAUGAUAUUUUAUAUUAUUUUUAGUCACUUUGGUUAUAUUAUUGGAAGAAUAUGAAUCAUUUUGGCUAUAAUUGGUAAAAAAUGCUUUUAAGUGGUUAAAUGAGGUUUUUAUCACUUUUUACUUGGAUUUUGUGUAUUUUGACAGUUUUGACACAUUUUCGUAUUUCGGCUAUAACUUGAGCUACAAUGAUCGGAUUGGGAUGAUUCUUGAACCCAUUUGAAGAUAAGAGAUAGAUCUACAACUUUGGUGAAGACAUCCGAAUCCAGUUUGAAGGUUUUCCAGGUCAAAAAGCUGAAGUACAAAGUCAAUUGCUAUUGGUCGAAACUGAAACAGGGCAAUGAGCAGACAAGGGUAUUUCAGUCAUAUCUCAGCCUACACAGAUCCAAAUGAGGUGAUUCUUGAUGCAUUGGAAAGAUAACUCAAAAGUCUACAACUUUCGUGUUUUACACAUGAGCUGGUUCAGCCUCUAACAUCAAGAAAAGAUCGGUUGAAGUUGGGCCAAAAACAGAGCAAGUGAUCCACACUCGGAUCCACUAUUCAUCCGAACCCUCGGCUGUUUCUGGGUUAGUGGAUCCGAGGCACUGUAGCAGCUCGGAUCACUGGUCAGAAAAGGCUGCUUUAUACGCGUAAAACUCAAUUUCACCUCCACCAACUCACAUGUGAUGCUAGACAUGUGAGAGACAUUACCAGCUGUAAGGAGAAAGUGUAAAGCUUCAUUUCUUGACCACCUUUCAUCAUUAAAUAGCCAAAUUCAUUGCAAGAGAGAGGAUCCAAGAAGAGAUAGGAGAGAUUGGAGUUCAUAGCAGAGCCAAGAAGAGAGCAAGAGAGACAUACGGGAGAAAGCUUGAAGCUGCAGAAAUGUAGCUCUUUCAUCUUCCUAGUGUUAGUUUAGCUUAGUAUAGAGUAGUGUAGCUUUUCCAUUCUUGUUUAUUAUCUAGAUUAGGAUGAAGAUGGAGGAUGAAGAAGGCAAGGAAGAAAGCUCAUGUGACAAGGGUUGUAUUCCUUCCAAACUCUUUAUCUUUUGUAUUUGAUUCCAAGUUUAGUUAAUAUACAAGUUCUGGAUUUUGUGUUCAUUAUGUGUUUCUAAAGUUUAUACCUUGGGUUUGGUUGAACUUUCUAUGAUUGUUAGUGUUAAUUGUUUGGUUAUUUGAUUGCUACGAUUUGAGCAAGUUAUUUAGCACUUUGGCUUCUUAAAUCAUGAUUAAUCUGGUACCAUUGAUUGUGAUUAUCUAAGGUGUUGUUUCUGCAAUGAAAAUUGAGAUUUAACACUAGUUCAAGAGUGCUAAACAUAGGGAGUACACUCACGAAAGUAGAGGUGCACUUAUGUGGUUUUUAGUGAUUCAUUUCAUGUAAUUUCAUUGAAGAAAUGAACUUGUAGCUAAUUUCAUAACCAUGAAAAUAGGUAUGGAUUAGUUAUGAGUAUAGUUGAUUCACUACGAAAGUAGGUUUCACAUGUUUAAGGAAAUUACACCAUAACUAGCCUAAAUGUAGUAAUUAAUGAUCCAAAUAUAGCACUUGCAUGAGUAGUUAGGGAUACCACAACCUAAGGAGCUUUUAUUUGUUAUUUUGUAUAAUUUCAGUAGGUUAAAUUUCUUAUAAUUCAUUGAUAGUCUAAAUAAUAGAGAAGCUUUAGUAAUACCGGUAAUUGUUCACUCUUCCUUGUGGGAUCGACCCGAUAUAUACCCUAAACUACUAGUUGACCUGUAUACUUGCAGUGAACGGGUGUAAUUCGGUUUUUUAACUUGUACGUAUGUAAAAUACCCGUCAAGUUUUUGGCGCCGUUGCCGGGGAAGAUUUGGCAAUAUCGGUGUGAAGAGUAACUUUAUUAGUUUAGACAUAAUAUUAGUUAUAAUGUGAAUGUUAUUUUCUGUUAUUUUUGUAUUUUAUGUGUGUAUGUGUUUCAUUACCUAUUUUUCUUACUAAUUUUGCUUUUGAGAUUGUUUAAAAGCAAUUUUAGGUAAUGAGAAGGGUAGGUCAAUUUGGAGGACAAUGCUUGAGAAGUGGAAGAUUGGAAAUGGAUGGUUACCAAGUGCAAAGCUCCUUCAAUAGAGGUAACCAAGAAUUUACUGAAUGUAUGUCUUUUGAAGAUGGUUUAAGGUGCUUAAAGGCUAAAUUUGAUUUUAUGAUGUUGCAAGUUCAAAUGGACGCAAUUAUGCAUGAAAUUGAGCAAGGGAGGAAUGAUAAUGCUUUUAAUUCUUAUCAUGUGAUUUGUGACUUGUGUGGAGAUUAUCAUGCUACUAAUACAUGUAUGCAAGCACAAAAUGUGUAUUAUUAUGAUGAAUUAGAGCAUUACAAUCCUUGUUUUAAUCAAUAUAGUGCUAAUUGGAGCAAUUCUCCUGCUUAUGGUUGGGAUGAUCAAUGUACUUAUAGUGAUUAUUCAUAUUUUUAUGAUUACCAACCUAAAAGUGUCCAAUAUGAAUCAAAACCAUCUUGGGAGUUGGCAAUAGAGAAGUUAGCUAAUGCACCUCUGCCUUGGGAGUUAGAAAGUGAACCAUUAGCUAAUGAUUCUAAUGCAUCUUGGGAGCUAGCUGUAGAAAAUUUUUCUAAUCAAUUUGAUUUAGCAUUAGAAAAGUUAGUAAAUGCAACUUCCGAUCGUUUUGAUAGGAUUGAGGAAAGAAUAGAUGAAUUAGCUUCUCACUUUGGUCGAAUACAUGAGCAAUUGAGUGCAUUGUGUGAAGUUAUUUCUUCUAAUAAAUUGCAAAAUGAUCCUAGCAUGAAUGGUAGGAAUGUUGUAUGUGAAAAUGGAUUGCAUUUUGAUGAAAAUGAUGAAUCUCAAUUGUGUUUCAAUGAGCAAAUGUCCAUUUCACAUGAUAAUAUCUUUGGAACUAACUUUGAACCUCAAGAGGUGAGUUUUAAUGACUCAUUUUUCAUCCCUCUUGAGGAGUGCAUUGAAAGUAUAGGUUCUAAAGGUAUUCCUGCUCAAGAUACUCUCAUGGCAUUCCCUUUGGUAAGUUCUCAAGUGGUGCAUAUUCAAGGUAAUAUCUAUGAGCCACUUGGGAUAGGUAAGUCACUUCCAUUUCUCACAUCAUUAGAUCAUGUGGCUUUUGCUAUAAAGUCACCAUUUAAUGAUCCACCACGACCAAAAAUGGUGGAUUAUUCGCUAACAAAGCCUCCUUGAAAAAAUGAGGAGAAAUAGUCAAGCUAUUGACUUUAAAGAAGCGCUUAUUGGGAGGCAACCCAAUGUUUGUUUAAGUUCAUGUUAUUUUGGAGUGAUUUUAUGUUUAAAGUAUGAGUUUGAGUUAUUUUGCUAUUUUUCAUUUGUAGGUUUUGAAAAAGUGACCAAAUGAGGUGAAAAAGGCGAAGUUUGAUCAAAGAUCUCAAUACCUCAAAUUCAGUAAUUAUGGUUUUUGAUGCAUUAAAGAGGUUUAGAAUGCAUGUUUAGAUCAUUUUGCAUGUGCGUGAAUGGUUUAUUUUGACAUAGAAAUGAUCUAGGGUGUAUUUUGAAGAAUUGAGGUCAAACUGAAAAUUGCAAAAAUUCUGCAAUAAGUGCAGAUUCAAUGGAUCCAAGGCCUCGGAUCCACUUCUGCAAUCAGAGAAAAACUUCGAGCUUCUUGAUCCGAGCUCGGAUCCAUAUGGAUCCAAGGCCUCGGAUCCACUUCUGCAAUCAGAAAAAAUUUGAGCUUCUUGAUCCGAGCUCACUUAUCAUGAUCCGACCUCGGAUCCUUUCAAAAACGACCUCGGAUCCUUUCCAAACGAAGCCUCGGACCACUUUUCUUCAUUCUUCCCUCUUUUUCCUCCUUCAACUCCACUUUUCUUCUUGUUGGUUGCAAGCUUUUAUUCUUAAGAAUUGUAUUUUUGUUUUUUUUUUCAAGGUGCAUUAAUUGAAGUCUCCAUUCUUUCAAGUAAAGUUGGAAAUUCAUCACAUUGCCAUGGAUUCGGAUCGCGCAAGUUCAUUAGGGGAGUAUUACUUUCUCUUAUUUUCGUUAUUUUUCCUUUCUCACAUUGAGGACAAUGUGAAGUUUAAGUGUGGGGGAGGAAAAUAUUAAACUUGCAUUUACUUGCCAUGUGAUGAUAUUUUGUGGAUAUAAAUGCUUAGAAAUGUUGGAAUUGUGUUUGAAAUGUUUGCCAUGUGGAUAAUUUGCUUGAAAUUGGGUUUGUUGGCAGGGAGUUUUCUUCCAUUUAUAAGGAGAAACUCUGUAAAAAUUUUUCUAAAAUCUUUUCCAAUAUUUCACUAUGGCCCAAAAGUUCUUCAAAUUCUUGCAUUCUCAUUCAAAAAAGGGCUAAUUGUUCCAACCUUAUUCUUCCAAUUGUUGAAAUGUUAUAUGUAUUUUGGAAGGUUUAGUCCUCAUUUAACUUGGAAAUUGUUAUUACGCAAUUAGAAUUUUUACAUUUUAGAAAGUAUAUUUGGUAAAGUGAGGAAAAUUAUGCCUAUAAUUUUACAUGUUUAAUGAGAUUUCUUCUCUUUACUUAAUUUUGCAAGUAAGUGAUUGAUAUAGUCGAUAAAGGUUAUAUUCCUCCUUUGAUUAUUCUUAUAUAUUUUCUAAGAGGGGUUAUCUAUUUAUUGUCCUUUAUUUCUGAAAAAGAAAAAAAAAAGUAAAAAAAAAAGAGAAAGUAAAUAAAAAUUGUUCUACUCCAAUGAUUCAUGUACCGAGUAACCGGGGGUUGGCAUCAACAAAUGUCGACAUUCGCGUAAAAAGGUACUUGAAUUAAGAGUAUGCAUAGCAACUUGAAUAAGUGAAACGUUGAGUAACUGGGGAUCUUCACCUAAAAGUGUCGAUUUUCGCGUAAAAAGGCAUUCUCACUAUUUAAGUAAAAUUUGUGUGAAUAAAUCCCUCUUAGUUAUAGAAUUUUGAGAAAAAGAUGAUUAUAGGAGGAGGAAAGCUAUAAAUUGACUAUGUGAUUUGCUUAUUUGUAAAAUUAAGUUAGGGUAAGAGAUUAAGUUUAACUUGUUGAAUUUAGGGUAUAAUUAUCUUUCCUUUACUUGAUAUUAUGAGUAUUUAGUGUAAAUUGAAUAAUUGUAUAAUGAUUAUUUUCCAAGUCUUGAGGAAUUAAAUUGGACAAAGUGCAUAUAUUGUUUCACCUCUUGAAUCAUUGCAUUUGAUUAUGUGUGGAUUGCUUGAGGACAAGCAAUGAUUUAAGUGUGGGGGAGUUUGAUAAGUGACUAAUUUACGUAAUAAUUGUAUGAUAUUUUAUAUUAUUUUUAGUCACUUUGGUUAUAUUAUUGGAAGAAUAUGAAUCAUUUUGGCUAUAAUUGGUGAAAAAUGCUUUUAAGUGAUUAAAUGAGGUUUUUAUCACUUUUUACUUGGAUUUUGUGUAUUUUGACAGUUUUGACACAUUUUCGUAUUUCGGCUAUAACUUGAGUUACAAUGAUCGGAUUGGGAUGAUUCUUGAACCCAUUUGAAGAUAAGAGAUAGAUCUACAACUUUGGUGAAGACAUCUAAUCCAGUUUGAAGGUUUUCCAGGUCAAAAAGCCGAAUUACAAUAGCAAUUUCUACUGGUCGAAACUGGAACAGGGCAAUGAGCAGGCAAGGGUAUUUCGGUCAUUUCUCAGCCUACACAGAUCCAAAUGAGGUGAUUCUUGAUGCAUUGGAAAGCUAACUCAAAGGGCUACAAGUUUUAUGUUUUGGUCAAGAGCUGGUUCAGCCUCUAACAUCAAGAAAAGAUUGGUUGAAGUUGGGCCAAAAACAGAGCAAGUGAUCCACACUCGGAUCCACUAUUCAUCCGAACCCUCGGUUGUUUCUGGGUUAGUGGAUCCGAGCUCGGAUCCAUACGGAUCCGAGGUAGCAGCUCGGAUCACUGGUCAGAAAAGGCUGCUUUAUACGCGUAAAACUCAAUUUCACCUCCACCAACUCACAUUGGAUGCUAGACAUGUGAGAAACAUUCCCAGCUGUAAAAGGGAGAUGUAAUCCUCAUUUCUUGACCACCUUUCAUCAUUAAAUAGCCAAAUUCAUUGCAAAAGAGGAGAAGAGAUAGGAGAGAUUGGAGUUCAUAGCAGAGCCAAGAAGAGAGAAGAGAGACAUACGGGAGAAGCUUGAAGCUGCAGAAAUGUAGCUCUUUCAUCUCCUAGUGUUAGUUUAGCUUAGUAUAGAGUAGUGUAGCUUUUCCAUUCUUGUUUAUUAUCUAGAUUAGGAUGAAGAUGGAGGAUGAAGAAGGCAAGGAAGAAAGCUCAUGUGACAAGGGUUGUAUUCCUUCCAAACUCUUUAUCUUUUGUAUUUGAUUCCAAGUUUAGUUAAUAUACAAGUUCUGGAUUUUGUGUUCAUUAUGUGUUUCUAAAGUUUAUACCUUGGGUUUGGUUGAACUUUCUAUGAUUGUUAGUGUUAAUUGUUUGGUUAUUUGAUUGCUACGAUUUGAGCAAGUUAUUUAGCACUUUGGCUUCUUAAAUCAUGAUUAAUCUGGUACCAUUGAUUGUGAUUAUCUAAGGUGUUGUUUCUGCAAUGAAAAUUGAGAUUUAACACUAGUUCAAGAAGUGCUAAACAUAGGGAGUACACUCACGAAAGUAGAGGUGCACUUAUGUGGUUUUUAGUGAUUCAUUUCAUGUAAUUUCAUUGAAGAAAUGAACUUGUAGCUAAUUUCAUAACCAUGAAAAUAGGUAUGGAUUAGUUAUGAGUAUAGUUGAUUCACUACGAAAGUAGGUUUCACAUGUUUAAGGAAAUUACACCAUAACUAGCCUAGAUGUAGUAUUCAAUGAUCCAAAUAUAGCACUUGCAUGAGUAGUUAGGGAUACCACAACCUAAGGAGCUUUUAUUUGUUAUUUUAUAUAAUUUCAGUAGGUUAAAUUUGUUAUAAUUCAUUGAUAGUCUAAAUAAUAGAGAAGCUUUAGUAAUACCGGUAAUUGUUCACUCUUCCCUGUGGGAUCGACCCGAUAUAUACCCUAAACUACUAGUUGACCUGUAUACUUGCAGUGAACGGGUGUAAUUCGAUUUUUUAACUUGUACGUAUGUAAAAUACCCGUCAGUAUACAACAUCUCUAUGAUGUCAAAUCAAUUUUCAAGUCAAGGAUGAUUUUAUUGAACCAACUCAGUCUUUGACUGAGUCAAUUUUCUGGUCAAAACAACUUAUCUAAAAUCUUGCUAAGUACACAAAAGGGGCUAAAGUCAAUUUCACUGCUAAAAGUUCUUCCUUUUUCUUCUUUUCUCAAAACCCUCACUCUUUUUUUUUUACCCGUACGAUCAAUUCACUACUUCAAUUAAAUGCUAUAUUCCAAGUACCAAGAAAUCAUACAUAUAUUAUACAAAAUCUCUCUCUUAUGAGAGCUCCUUUCUCUCUCUAGUAGAGAACUUUUUCCCCCUCGUGGGUGGUUAAACAACUUUAGCCUCCAGAAUUUAAAUUUCCCAUAGUUUGGCUGGUCAUAUCUCCUCACAUUGCGAGCCAUAAUCUUAAGUGAUCUGUUCGCGGUGAUUAACAAUGGAUAAUUUUCAGGAUUCAAUCACUUUGAUUCUGGUUUUGAUCUGUGGUACCUGAGUUUUCCUAUUCGUAGGAGUCUUAUAGCGGUAGCAUCUUAUUAACCUUUAAUUGCGAAGCUCAGCUUGCGUUAGGUUGUGCUCAGAUCUUUUUUAGUAGUUUCAUUUCUUUCUCUAGUACUCGUGUCUAUUCAGAUUCAGUGAUACUCUUUGCUGUUGAUUUCGGUUUUCAAUUUCUAGUGGUAGAUCGUCUGCUUUCUGGUAGCCGUUUCUGCUAACUGUUUUUGCUGUUUUUCUAGCUUCAUCUCGGAAUUGGAGAGCUGAAGUUCGUGGCCUGUGAUUUGCGGCGAGGUUCCCUGGGUAUUGCAUCAAUGGCUGAGGAGCUGGAAGAAGUGUUGAGGAAAUUUGAUUUGUCAGAAAAAGAGGUGGCAGGCAUUCAAAUUGAAGGGGAAGAUACUUUCCAGGGAGUGGAGAUCUGUCGGAUGAGCAUUAUUGGCAAAGUGAUUGGGAAAAAAGUGGCAAAUAUCAUAGGUAUUAAGAGCUUUACCAGUAAUAUGUGGAUGUUUGCCAAGAACGUGAAGGUUGUAGAAAUAGGAGUUAAUUUGUUUUAGUUUAUAUUCAUAAAUCAAAAUGAUAUGGACAGAGUUUUAAAUGGGAGGCCAUGGGUGUAUGAUAAUUUACCUCUUGUUGUUAUCCCUUGGAAGGAGGGAAUUGAAAAAGAUGCUAAAGCUUUUAGUAAAACUUGAAUUUGGGUGCAGAUCUAGAAUCUCCCAAUCCAUUGGAUAACUAAAGAAAUUGGUCGUAAGAUAGGAGAAGUUUUUGACUUAGUUAAAGAGGUCAUCAUUCCUAAUGGUGGGGGUAAAGAUGGUAAGCACUUGAAAAUCUUAGUGGAAAUUGAUAUUGAACAACCAUUGCUAAGGAGAACUACGGUUAGGAUGAAUGGGGCAAUGAAAUGGAUUGAGUUUAGGUAUGAGAGAUGUCCUGAUUUCUGUUAUUGUUACGGGAAGUUGGGGCAUAAUGAGAAAAAUUGUAAAAUGAAAGGCAACUAUCUGGAUAGGGAAACACAAUUUGGAGCCUGGAUGCGAGCUAGUAAUGCUAGGAGUCCAAAAAAAACAAAAUAAAACAGAUUCAAAAUAUGAAGGGGAUGCUGGAGAGUUUAUUAGGACUAAGAGUAAUGGGAAUGUGGUUAACAACUUAUUUUUGACAUGGGGGGGAGGUGAGGACACCUAGAAUGGGCAAGAGGGGAAGGGAAGUGCGAGCAAUACAAUGUGUAAGGGAAUCCUCCCAGAGGAUGAUGCUGUUGAACAACACAGGACACUCUGUGUGGGGAAUAAGGGAGGAGAGGGAGUGGGGGGACAGGUAGGGGAUAAGGAAUCAGGUAAACACCUGAAGUUGGGAAGGGAGUCCUCAGAUUUCAAUAUAGAAGGGGAGGGGGAGCUGAGUUAUGGUAAGGGGAGAAUGGAACAAUUGGAGAAGGCAGAGGAUGACACUAUGUGGAUUGAUGGGGGGCAGGAGGAGAAAAGAAUGAGUAAGGGCAGGGGAAGGGAGGAGGGAAAAGGAAAGGGUACUGGAAAAUAUAAGGGUAGUAGGGGAUGGAGGAGGUUGGUGCAGGAAGUAGGAAGGAGAGUGCCUUUGGGGGAUAAAAACUCUGGAAUGGAGAUAGAGAAGGAUUCUGGGAAAAGGAAACAGGGGGACACACAUGGGAAGGAGAAUUAUGGAGAGCUGGUGAGGGGGGAUCAGAAAAAGCUUAAGGGGAUGGAAGGGGAUGUGGGUAGAGAGGAUCCUCUGAAGGUGGUGGAGCCCAACCUUAAUGGGGCUCCCAGCCCUCAAUGAGAGCUGUGGUGUGGAACUGUCGAGGUGCUGGGAGCCCCUUGACAGUUUCCCAACUUGAGGAGGUUGUGAGACUCCACUCCCCUGAGGUAAUUUUCUUAGCUGAAACUAAAAAUAAAAAAGAUGUUAUGAUUAAGAUGAAGAGGAGAUUGAAGUAUGAUAGUCUGUUUGUUGUUGAACCUAGAGGUAAGGCUGGAGGCUUGGCUGUACUUUGGAGAAAGGAGAUAAAAGUUAGGAGAGUUUUGUCCACUGAGUUUACUAUAGAGCUUAAUGUGGUAGGGAAAGGGAAUGAGGCAGAUUGGUGGUUUAUUAGGGUCUAUGCUAGUAGUACUGAUCAGGUAAGAGCACAUCAGUGGAAAGUUAUAGAAAAUAGAUCAACUAUAUGGGGUUCGAAUUGGAUCCUAGCAGGGGAUAUGAAUGAUAUUAUGUCUGGGGAUGAGAAAUGGGGUGGGAAGCUGAGAAGUGAGAAUAGUUUUAGAGAUUUUAGGAAAUUUGUUAAUGACAACCAGUUGAUAGAUAUUGGUUAUGAGGGGAUCCCCUGGACCUGGUGUAAUAAUUAGGAGGAGGAUGGGGAGGUCAAGGAAAGGUUAGAUAGAAUUCUGUGCAGUUGGGAUUGGAGAAGGGAGCAUGGUAAAGCUAAGUGUGUGCACCUGCAGAAUGAGGCUUCUGACCACUGUAUGUUGCUCUUGGAUACUGAGCCAAAGCACAGAACAUGGAAACAGAGGUUUUCCUUUGAUAAAAAUUGGGUGCAGCAUAAGGAGGUUAGGGGCAUUAUUGCUUCAGCAUGGGGGAAAUAGCAGAGGAGGUCUAGAGGUUUUAGGCUAAAACAGAAAAUUAAAGAGUGUAGGAUGGCAUUGUUACAAUGGAGGAGGCAUUACAAUGCCAAUGCUAAAACACAAAUAUGGAGGAUAAAGAAGGAAAUAACUGAGGUUCAUAGGGGACAGCAGGAAGAUAAAAAGGGUAGGUUGAGUACCCUGAAAAAACAACUCACUGAGGCUUACAGGUAGGAAGAAACUUACUGGGGGGCAAAAAGCCAGAGUGCAAUGGUUGAGGGAGGGGGACAGGAAUACUAAGUAUUUCCAUACGGUGGUAGAGGGGAGAAGGAAAAGGAACAAUAUAUCUACUCUGCAAAGGGAGAAUGGUACUUGGUGUGAAUCUGAGGGGGAGGUGGGAGAUGAAAUUAAUGUGUAUUUUGAGAAACUCUUCACAUCCAGUAAUCCAAGGCAGGUUGAUGCAAUACUCAGUGGUAUUCCUCAGGUAAUCACAGCUCAGAUGAAUAACAAGCUCACCAAACCAGUCUCUGAGAUGGAAGUCAGGAAAGCUGUUUUUUCCUUACAUCCCAAUAAGGCCCCUGGACCUGAUGGUAUGACCCCCUUUUUCUUUCAGCAUUUCUAGGAUGUAAUUAAAAAUGAUCUUAUAGCAGCCAUAUCUAGCUUCUUUCAUUCUGGUCAUUUACUUAAGGCUAUUAAUGAGACUAUUAUCACCUUAAUUCCAAAAGUUAAAGCUCUUAUUUCUGCAUCCCAAUAUAGGCCCAUUAGUUUAUGUAAUGUUGUGUAUAGAAUCAUUUCUAAGAUCCUGGUUAAUAGAUUGAAACCUUUUCUGCAACAUUGCAUUAGUGGUAAUCAGUCUGCUUUUAUUCCUGACAGACAAAUCAUUGAUAAUAUUGUGAUUACUCAUGAAAGUAUUCAUUGUUUAAAUCAUAGACGAACUGGAUCUAAUGACUUUAUGGCUCUUAAACUAGAUAUGGCUAAAGUCUAUGACAGGGUAGAAUGGCCUUUUGUAGUCAAGAUAAUGGAAAAAAUGGGUUUCUGUCAGAUUUGGAUAAAUUGGAUCUUUAAAUGUAUGUCUUCUGUUGUAUAUUCUUUUAAUGUGAAUGGUGAGAAGACAGGUUUGGUUAAGCCUUCAAUUGGUAUAAGGCAGGGGGACCCACUAUCCCCAUAUUUGUUUUUACUGAUGUCUGAGGGGCUCUCUAGCUUGCUGAAGCAAGCAUUGGGCAACCAUUGUCUGGCUGGAUUAAAGAUUGCCAAAGCUAGUCCUGCUAUUUUCCACUUGUUUUUUGCAGAUGACACCCUUAUCUUCUGUAGAGCUAGCAUUAAGGAGGCUGAACAAGUGAAAAGGAUCUUGGAGUUGUAUGAAGCAGCAUCAGGACAAAAGAUUAACACAGAUAAGUCAUCUGUGUUCUUCAGCAAAAACACUGAGGAAAGCAAUAAGGCAGAGAUCCUCAGAUUAUUGGGGGGAAUGAAGCAGGUGGACCAGAGUAAGUAUCAUGGACUACCAAUGGUGAUUGGCAGAUCUAAAAGACAAGUCUUCAAUUAUAUCAAGGAAAGAGUGAUGGGGAAGAUCAAAGGGUGGAAAGAAAAGCUGUUGAGCCAGGCUGGGAAGGAAGUGCUGCUAAAGUCUGUGAUACUAGCAAUGCCUGCCUAUGCUAUGAGUUGCUGCAAGCUGCCUAAGAGCUUAUGUCAGGAUAUAAAAUGGCUCGCUUUUGGUGGGGGGAGAGUGAGGGGAAGAGAAAGACUCACUGGGUGGAGUGGGGGAAGUUGGCUGAAAUAAAAGGGAAAGGAGGUUUAGGCUUUAGGGACUUGCUGGAUUUUAAUAGUGCCAUGCUAGCUAAGAUGUUAUGGAGAAUUCUGACACAGCCCAAUCUGCUAUUAAGCAAGGUGUUAAAGGGGAAAUACUUCAAAGGGGAAGCAAUUUGGAAGACGCAGAUAAAGGCAGGGGACUCUUGGAUAUGGAAGAGCAUUAUGAGUGCAAGGGAGGUGAUGGAAAGAGGGGUUAGGAAGAGAGUUGGAGAUGGCACAACUGUGGAUAUCUGGAAAGAUAGGUGGAUCCCAGGUGAAGGUACGGGUAUGGUGGCCACUUCAAUGCCUGCAGGCUGUAAAAUCCUAAAGGUACAUGAACUAAUUCAAAACGGAAAGUGGAACAGAGCAAUGAUGGAAACUCUACUUAGUGAGGAAGACUGCAGGAAGAUAGAAGGAAUUCCAAUUAGUUUAUGUGCAGGGAAGGAUAAGUUGGUGUGGCCAUUUACAAAAUCUGGGCAGUAUUCUGUCAAAACAGGAUAUAUGUUGGCCAGAUAAAUGAGAGGGGAAUGGAGAAGGAAGGAACAACAUGAGGCUAGUAAUAGUAGGAAUGAACCUAAUUCUAAAGCUUGGAAGGUGCUGUGGGGUUUAGGUAUUAAACAUAAACUGAAACAUUUUAUAUGGAGAUGUUUACAUGGUGUAUUACCAGUCAAUGAGGUGAUCAAAAGGAGAAUUGGUAGUGGGGAGGAUAAAUGCAGGUGCUGUGGGGAGGGGACAGAAACCUUGGAGCAUAAGUUCUUCUUUUGUAGACAUUCUGAAAAUAUAUGGAAGGCAGCUCCAAUUGAUUGGGAUGGGCUUAAAGAGUUUAGGCAUAGUUUUUGGCAUGGUGGAAUAGCUUGAUGGAUGCACAAGACAGAAUAGAAGGGAAGAACCACAUUGCUUUGACUGUGAACAUACUUUGGCAGAUAUGGAAAUCAAAGAACCAAGUACAGUUCAAUGAGAUGAGCAACUGCCCAGGGAGAACAGCAGGUAAGGCUGUGCAGGAGUGGGCUGAAUAUAAUGAGGUGAGGAAUGGGGCUGAUAAUAAGGAGGUAAUGGAGAAAGAACAGGGGGCAGGGAUUAGCAGAUGGUAUCCACCCCCUCAAGGCUUUAUAAAACUAAACACUGAUGCAGCCUUGGGUUUGAAGGAUAGGAGGAUUGGGUGGGGAGUAGUGUCCAGAAGGGAGGAUGGGGAGAUUGUGGGGGUUUGGGCAGGGGGGGAGAGCAGAAAUGGUAUCCCUGCAGUUGAGGAGGCCUUAGCUAUCAGAAAAGUUGUGAUAAAGGCUAAACUAUGUGGCUGGAACAAAGUAGAGAUACAAUCUGAUUGUAAAUUACUGGUGGACAAGCUCAGGGGGAGGGAUGUGGAUGAUCCAAUCACGGGGACUAUUUUACAUGAUGUUCUGAUUUUAAGCCAAGAUUUUGAUACGUGUCUUUUCUCUUUUGUUAAAAGAGGGGGCAAUUGUGUGGCUCAUAAGUUGGCAAAAUUUGCCAUAAGCUUGUAUGAUGAAAUUAGUUGAAAGGAUUUCUUUCCAAUUUGGCUUAAUUGUUUAGCCAAAAAUGAUGUAGGAGCAGUUGCUCCAACAAUGUAAUUUCCACUUAGCAAUAAAUCUGUUAUCGUUUGGAAAAAAAAAAUAAAUGCUAUAUUCCAAGUCAGGAGUGACCGUCACCAGCAUCAUUUGUUGUCAUCUUUAACAUUGUUGUUGUCAUCACCACCAUCAUAAUCGUUCUCAUACUCGCUGUUGUCAUCAAUUGACAGUCAUCAUUACAAGUCAUUGAUUAGACAAUUUUUCUCAUUCCGUAAGUAGUCACUUUUUUAAUAUUAUAAACUAUCAAAUUAAAUAAAAUCUCAAAUUUAUCUUGGAUUUGUAACUAAUCUAUUUCUUAAUUUGUUUUUAACUAGGAAUUUUGGCAAUUUUAAAAAGCAAAUGAUAAUUUUUAAAAUUAAUGAACAAUACCCUCUACCCAAUUCUCAUUUUUCCUUAAGUUGUGCCCUACUUUGUAAAUAUUAACUUCUACUUUGACCUUAUAGGAAAUUUUCCCUAAACAAAUUUAGAAAGGAAAAAAGAAAUAGGAGAAAAUAAUAAAGUAAUAACUAAAUAAGACAUUGAGACUUUCCAAUUGUCUUCCCUUCCCUAACAAUUUUGUUUCGUUCUUUAAUUUGCUGGCAUAAUUGUUUCUCCAAAUUCAGAUUUUCGCAUCCAAUUUACAAUGGAAUCCCCAAAUUUGCCGGAGCCAAACCAAGUAACGGAUAAAAAAAAUUAAAUUGCCCAAAAUCCCAAAUCAAAUAUUCCUGACUUCAAGACUACCAGUACCAGUAAAAUCAUUGUGUCGAUUCAAAUGUGUGUAAGUAAGUCAUGGCAGUCUCCAAUAUCUGAUCCCAAAUUCAGUCUCAAAACCAACGUUUCCCGGGCAAUUCUCUGGAGUGGAACCAGCCCAUUUCUAUACUCUGUGAACCUUGAUCUUCUUGCUGCAAACGUCCUCAACCCAUUAGCAGAAAACCCAUGUUCUCCUAAUCAAAACCAACUAAUUCUUGGUUCUUGCAGCGGCUUCAUACUCUUCAGCUAUUCUACCUCAAUAUACCACUACAAGAAAAAAGGCAUUAGUGACAACAUUUCCUAGUGAUGACAAAAAGUCGUCACAAAAUGAGGUUGUUUAAUCACGACAUUGAAGGUUGUCACAAUUGACUCAAAGCAGCUAAGUUUUCAGUGACAACCAUUAAUUGUCGUCACAAAACUACUUCGCGCCAUGGGACUUGGAAGGCGGGAGUUUUGCAAUAGUGACAACUUGAUAAAAGUUGUCAGUAAUUCUACCUCUUUCUUUGACAAUUUUUCAUUGUUGUCACUAUUUAUGUUUAUUGAAUACCAAUUUUUGUCAGUAAAACUAUAAUGUAGUUAGUGACAACAUAGUAUCAUCACAAACUUGAACAUCUCCAAUGCAUUUAUUUAAUUGUGAGCCUCAAUAUUAAUUUAAUUUUUUUUAAAAUUUAAUAAUUUAUUAAACUAGUCAUAGUUACUCAAAUAAUAAUAGGUUUUUAACUGGAAAAAAUUAAUGAAAGUUUCUAACUAGAACAACUAUAUAAACUAUUACAACUUGAAAAAGAGUACAUUUACCAAUUGUUCGAAUUUAGCAAAAAAUUUUCAUCCAUUAUAACCUUUUAAUAAAUAUGUUAAGAAGUAGUGAUUAGAAAUAUAUUAGUAAAUUUAAAUAAAAAUUGAAGCUAAAAAUUGACUUGGAUUGCCUUGAUUGACUAGUACCAAAUAUUUGUUCAAGCUAAACAUGAAAAAAGAUCGACAAUGUCAAGGCCAAAAUCCAGGACAAGGAGGGGCAUCCCCCCGAAACCAAUAGCACCAUAUCUUCAUCGGCAAGCAGCUGGAGGACGGCCGUACCCUAGCCGACUACAACAGCCGAAAGGAGCCAGAAGAAGUCCACCAUCCACUUCUUCCUCCACCUCCGUGGUGACGCAACACCAAGCCCAAGAAAAAGAAGGCAAGUUUACCAGAAGGUUGGCGGUGAUUGAGGGAACUCUAGACUAAUUGUGCAUUCAACGCUGAAGGGGAUCGAUGUGCUCUCCACCAGCUCUCAGGUAGGUCCUCUUAUGUCUCUCCUUGUUUCCCUAAUUUUUUCCUCAAUUAAUUUGCCCUAAAUUUUUUCCCCAAAUUUUUGGCAAAAUUUUUACGGUGCCUAGUUUGAGUCGUGGACUCCUUCUAGUAGAACUGUUUGAUCUAUAGUUGCAAUUGCUUAAGUUAUUUUUGUACAACCAUGGGAUGUAGACUUGAUCACCCAAUUCUAUAUGUGAGUCAUGGUGACAAAAUUCAAUGGGUUUAUGUGCGGGUGCGGUUUUGGCUUGGGACUAGGUGGGGCAAAAGUUGAUGCCUAAUUUAGGUACGAUGUUGCUAUGAGUGGCUGCUGGCGAGAGAAAUAAUGGGUUAAAUGGUGCUGGGUGGAGUGGGAAUUGGGGAGUGAUUAGUUGAUUAUCUAUGUGGCUGAGCAAAGAGGUAGCACAUUAAAGUUUAAUCUUCAAAAUUUCCAGAAAGCUUCAAACUUUGCUUGAAACUAAGCUAAACCAGAACAACCCAUUAAAGUACCUACAGAAACGAUUCUUGAAAGGGGUUCUUCGAAAUUAUUUGGAUUUUUAUCAAAAAUCAAAGCAAUAGCUACUGGCUCGUUGUUAAUGAGCUUUAUUAAUUAGUAAUAGUACUAAUAAUAAUAUUUACAUACAUGCUAUACAUGCUGUUACAAUUAUCCAAUGAAAUGACAUAGAAAAGAUUUGAAAGGUAGGAGGUGUGAUUGGAUGAAUUGUGUGGUCUGUUUGAAGCUUUGGUCUUUUCUGGUAGACCAAAUAUAUAGGCUGAAGAUAUCUAUAAUUAUAGCCCUAAUAUACAUAGGAAAAGAAAUACAAAUAUAUGACGAUAUCUAUAAUUAUUUUCCUAAGUAGCAUGCUGGUCAAUUUGAUAUUUGUGAUUGUUUUCAUGGUCAAUCUAAUUAUUCUACACAAUUGUAUGGUGGCCAUGCAUGCUAUAUGAUAACAUCAUGAUUUCUCCUUAAAGUUUUAGUAAUUGUUUUUCUUUUUUUGACUUCUAGUUUAUCUCAUGAUUAACUAAUCAUACAAGUAACUUGAAACCUAUUAUAACUUAGAAAGCAUCAUUCUAAGUUAUGAAUAUGGAAUUCAUUCCAGCAUGCUACUUCCAACUUUGAAUUGUACUCAUAUUCCCUUUUCAUAUAUUGUUGAUUUGGCGUGCUACUUAUAUGCAUAUAAUUAUAUAAAUCAAUAUAGUGUGGAUUAGUUUCAGGUAGAUCACAAAAAUUACUUUAUUUCUCUUAGAUUUGAUUGAUAUCUUAUUUUUUGUAGCAAUUGAAGUUGUUGACAUAGGCUUAGGGUCUUCCUCGGAUAUUCUCAUUGAGUUGCAUUUUUCACUUUGAGGUACUUUACAGGCACUCUCCCUCAGUCCUUUUUCUUUUGUUUAGCAAUCAUGAGUACACUUUACUAGAAUUUUUGCUUUGCGAAUGACCUACAAAAAUGUACUGCUGUUCACCAGUACUAAUGUUUAUUUAAAUUAUAAGCAUUGAGUUGUCAUCUGAUGAUAACGCUGAUUUAAUAGUACAUCAUGUUCAUAUUUGUUUUACUUUUAGCACAUACACCUGAUUGUGAUCAAUUUGAAUGAUAAAAUUUGUGUUUCAUUACUUUGGAGUUUCUUUGUUGCUGUUUGCAAUGAUUAGUUUCCCCAAUUUAGUUAUUGUGCCUUCAUUAAAAUAAUCUUGGAUGCAUAUAUCUUUAUGUUAGGAUACAAGACAAAGAAAACAUGGCUAGGAGUUGGAUGAUUAAAAACUACCUAGAUCCCAAAUAUUUAGAUGGAGUUGGAUGUCAAUUAAAACUUUUUACUGCCUCAUUAAUCUAAGGCUGUUUAUGCCAAUAAGUGAUUCAUUGAAAAGGAAGGAUAAAAAAAUCAUGAAAAUUUUCCUUAUGAAACUAAGGUGUCUAUUUAAUUUUGUUGUUUGUUUUGAUUUAUUUGAGUGUCAAUUUACAAGAACGAAUAGGUAGUCUUUGUGUAUCCCUUUCUUUAUAGAUGAAUCCAAUAAAGACUAUUUGUAUUCGUCUUGUGCUUUUAAUUUCAUUCUCAGCUGUGAAAUUAGUCAUGUACUAUUAGAUUAUAACAGAUUUGUCCCUAGUCAGUCAGAUUGAGAUACGAAUGCCACUUUGGUUAGUAGCAUCCCUAGAGAUUCUGUUGUGAAUAAGAUUCUGCAGCAUGAUUCUAAUGCGAUACUUGCCAAGUUUGCUACCUUGCUGUCAUAAACAUGUAAAAUUGCCAGAUAAUCAGGAAACAUGCUAAUUCGGUAGCUUUAGAUUAGGGGAUUUGUCUGGUUCUAAUGACUUUAUUAGCCUAUUGUAAUCUCUCAGGUUUCUAGAAUUCCUGAGAAAAUGAGCGAGUGUGGACUUUAAUUGUAUCAAAAAGUUUGCUAUCCAACAUCACUAUUAUUCCCUUUUUUUGGUGGUGUGAAAGACUUGGCAUUAUCAUUGUUAAUUAUCACUUUUAAGUUUCAUUUCCUUAUGAUAUUCUAGGAAGAGUUGUCUUAUGUGUUUUUUUGUAAUGUUAAAUGACGUAUUGAGACUGAUAGAAUAGAGCAUUUCCUUAAAGAUGCAACGGAAUGAUCUUUUGACCAGGAUUUUUGUAAGAAGCUGGCAUGGCUUUUCAAGCAAGCUAGGAACUUUUUGUGCCUUUUAAUUGUUGGAGAAGAUCAAUUUGAUGAAUUUCUUAUUCGAUGAUUACUCCUUCCUUUGACAUGCUAAAAUUGCUACCAUUCUAAAGGUCAUGCUAGAAAACCUGUUGUAAAGUGGAUUGAGGUACUCUUGCUCUGCCUUCUUUCUAGACAGGCUAGUGGUCAAGUUGAGUAUUUUUUACGUGAAUAUUAACAAUACUUAUGUUACUGGAUGCAUAUUUAGGUCCAUAAUUAUAGAAAAGGCAAUAAAAUUACCUCUAUGAAGAUGGUUCAGCUGAUGCAACAAGAAAAUUAACCCCAAACCAUUUUUCCAAAAGCUGGCUUUUUGAUCAAGACGAGUUAGAAUUCCUAGAUGCCAAAAGGUGCUUCUUAUCAAUAUGCUUUUGCUUUUGUGUGGAAAUAUAGACAACCAGUAUUUGUGCAUGCAUCAACCCCAAACCAUUUUUCCAAAGAUUUUAAGCACGAUUUUAUGGUUAAUAUGUUUAUUUCACAUGCAAGUGCUUUCCUACUAGCAUAGUCUCUCAAAAAGUCACCUUUAGAUCUGGUUGGCGUGAUAAGAGGACAAAUUUCUUGGCUACAAGUUGAUGAACUAAAAUUUUUUUGUCUCGUAAGAUGCAACUUUUACAAGUUGUUAUAUUUAAUUAACUCAUAGAUUUUAACAAUGUAAAACAUAUAAUAAAUAAAUUCUAACAAAUGUGAGAUAGCUUUAAAGCUGAUAACUUGUGUUCCACUCCUUUGUUCCAAAUGGAUGUCCUAGCUAGAGUCGGCUCUACUUUUAAAUGAACUUAGAUAACAAUAAUGUUUGAAACUUAAAUAAGAAGUGGGAAACACAUGGAUUGCAUUAUGAAUUGAAUUUAAUAAAUGGAGAAGGUUGGCUAACAAGUAGUCAAUGGUAAAAUUGAGAAAAUCGUUACCACUCUUUUUCUUAUUGCAUGGCAUUAAAUGCAAAGUUAGACAUCAAUUUAUCGUGAGCAGGGAGUAAGUUGGGAUCUUAGUAGAUCCACAGAAUCUUUAUAUUGUAUACGAUCAAGUUUCCGAAACCUUCACAAGUCCAGCUGGGUACCCUUUCCUUGACUAACUUUUAUGUAUAGAACUCAAGUAUGUAGAAAUUUAUCAGGAAUAGAGGUGUUUGAGGACACUUUCUGAUUUGAUUGUAUUUAUUGAUUGUCUUGUUUGUAAAGUCCUAGGAAGGCCUUGUUCCUUCAAUGGCAUGUUUUCUCUAUCCUGUCAUGAAAAGUAUGUACAGCCAUUUGCUAGCUAUGAUUUCUUGCAUAUCUCUGCUUGUAGUUGGUUUUCUAUUACUGUUUUGAGUGUGUGUGUAAAAUGAUAUCCGAUAAUUUACUAUUCGAGUUAGAGAUAAUAUUCAGUCAAAAAAUUCUUUGUUAGCUUUUGGCUCCAUGACUUUGUUAGGAAGACAUGUUAAGCCACUCCGUGAAAAGCUAGUAAUAUUUUUGUUUGGCCUUGAGUAGUUUGUUAAAAAGGUAUUGACCUCACUAAUACUUAACUAGCUAACUUCUAAGCUAAUUUGGGAUAUUGUCCUUGUUAUGUUAAUUUUCUGCCUUAUUUGUUCUCGUCUUGAUUAAGAUUCUAAUCGUGAUUGAGUUUUGUUGUAGGUAAAUAUAAGAGAGUUUAUUUUUUUGCUCAAGCUACUUGUUACCUACUAAUUAUUAUACUACUUUAUGCAGACUUGUAUUGCUUGUUCAAACUCUUUUGGCCUCUAAUCCACAGCUACUAAUUGAUUGAAGAACAAUGAAGACAAAGUUGUGUUUUGCUCUUGAAGUGUUUCGGCAGUAGCUGCUAGCUAAGUUUAGGACUUAGAUUUAUUUUUGUAAAGCUGUAGCAGGAUGUUGAACUUAAGUAUGAUAUUUUGGCAUUUCGAAUGUAAUGGAUGUCUUCUGUUUUUAAUUAACAGGCUUUGUUGUUAUUUUUCUCAAUUCGUAAAUUGAAUUGUUGGAUUGAUUAAUUCCAGUAUAAUUUUCUUUAUCAAACUACACGGUUACAGUAUAUUGUCACUAAUUAGACUUCUCCACUGACAAUGAAAUGUUGUCACUAAUUAGUAUCUCUAAACUUAAAGCCUACAGUGAUGACAAAAAGUUGUCAAUAUCACGUCUAUUUUAGUGACAAGCGUGAACCAAAGUUGUUAGUAAUUAGUCAAUACAAGCAACAAUCAUCAAGAAGUUUCAGUGACAAUGUUACUGGGGCCAUCAAGGGGCCAUCAAGAAGUUUCGUUCUUCUAGCUUCUAUGCCUCGCUACCUAAUACGGAUUUUUUUUUUUUUUUUUUUUUUUAAAUUUCAUAAAACUUUUAUUGAUAGUAGCAAAAUUUUACACACCGAGAAAAACUAGUUUGAAGUACAGCAAUCAACUAAAAGGUAAAAAUUCAAACACAAAACCUCCGUGUCCCAUUCAGCCACAACUAGCUUCAAUUGUGUUUUGUUGUCAGCCCUUCAUACGCCUACUUUUCCGAAUUGAAGGCAUUCCUAAUCUAUCAAGGCGAAGUGCCCCACGUGCCAUAGUUGGGAAUGAACUAAAGGCCUCGUAAAGCUUGAUUUGAUGCUCUGGAUGCAAUACUCCCACGUUGGACAGCGCAUCUGCAACUUUGUUCGCUUCCCUGUAACAAUGUGAAAACCGAUCAGGGUCUUUCACAAACUGCCAAAUUUGCCUAAUCUCUCGGCGAAUCUUCCAGGGGCACUGAAUGCGAUUCUGAAGAAUUGCAACUAAUAUCAAAGAAUCGGAUUGAACAUAGAGAUUAUCAAUACCCCUAUGUACACAAGUUUGAAGCCCAAUAAGGAGGGCACGAGCCUCUGCACAUAGACUUGUAGUUUCCCCAAGAUAUGUCGAAAAGCCAAUCAAAGGUAUGCCAUUUGAAUUCCGAAGAACCCCACCGCCUCCACUCACUCCUGGAUUACCCUUGGAACAUCCAUCCGUAUUUAAUAUGAACCGAUCAGAGUUCUUUGUUUCCCAACGAACAAGUUUGUAAAUAACCCCAGUAUGAGAAGAAUACGACCAAUCAUACAAAUGAUGAAAUGACUGGGCUCUGAACACUUGUUUGAACUGAAUACCCACCAUGGUCUGGAUCUCCAAGAAAAUGGCAUGACAAAUGGCAAGCGGCCUCAUCUGGACAUCCUCAAACAUUGCUUUAUUUCUUGCUUUCCAAAUUUGCCAACAAACAACACUGGGUAGAGUGUGUCCAAUGAAUCGUUGUAUCUCAGAGUCGUGUGAGCUGAGCCACCAACCAACUAUACGGGGCCUCAAAGAUGACCCUGGAGAAGACAAACCACAAGAGGCUCCAAAAUAAUUCCAAACUGUCGACGCUACUUGGCCAUUAGAAAACAAAUGUUCGAUUGAUUCCUCAGAUGCCGAAGAGCAGCAAAAACACUUUGAGGGUAAAUGGAAACCAAGUUUGCAUAACUUAUCUGGAACUGGCAGUCUCCCCAGCAUCAAUCGUAACAUGAAGAAUGAAAUUUUGAAAGGGAGCUGAGGAUGCCAAAUUGUAUCAAAUACCAUAGACUUGUUACGGGCUUGCCUAAUAUCCUGAAAUGCCGAAGCUAUAGAGAAAUUUCCAGAUGUUGUGGGCAUCCAAAUGACUUCAGAUUCACCUCCUUCUUCUGGAAUUGGGUGAUUUAAAAUAGAGGGCACCAUUUCUAUCGGCAGUGUCUGAUAUAACAAAUUCACAUCCCAGUGACCAUUGAUGAUGAAAUUACCAAAAGACAAAUUAGGGACAACGGUCGCUCUGUGGAACAAAGCACCACCUCCCAACCAGUUAUCGUACCAAAAAUUACAAGCCCCGUCUUUGGCAAUCCAUAGUAUUGAGAGUUCCACUUGUCGACUCACAUUGACCAUCCUUCGCCAGAGUGCGGAGUCCAUUGCCUUGAUUUCUACCUGACAAGGAUGGAGAUGUCUACAGUAUUUUGCUUUCAUGAAUACAGCCCAUAAAGACAAACCUUUUCUAAAAUUCCACCAAAGUUUGAAUGAGAAGGCUGUAUAGAUAUCUUGUAGCUUCCGAAAUCCAACCCCUCCCUCAUUUACCGGAUAACACAUAUGGGACCAACGUAUCCAGUGAAAUUUUGAAUCCUCGGGUGAUGAACCCCAUAUGAAGGUCGAGAAAGCCUUUUCUAUAGUUCUAAAUACCUUACUUGGGAUAAUCGCAGCCGACAUCAGAUGUACUGGCAUCGAUGCCAAGACAUGUUUGAUUAGAACUAUUUUCCCUCCAAAUGAAAGCAUCCUUGAUUUCCAGGAUAUAAUUCUCCCUAGAAUAGACUGACACGCUUCUCCAAAAUAUGAUGAUUUGCAUCUCCCAAAAUAAAGCGGAAAUCCCAAAUAUGGAAUUGGAAAUGAUUGCCAGGUAAACUUAGUGGUGCGUUCAAUCACCCUUCGUCUUGCCGGUGAUAAGGAAGGAUGAACUAGGUAGCAACUUUUUAGCACAUUUAUUAGCUGUCCCGAACACCUUUGAUACGCCUCUAGCACCUGCAUGAUAACCUUCAGAGAAUUAGAAGAUCCGUUUGCAAAUAUGAGAACGUCAUCCGCAAACGCCAAAUGAGUUAUAGCAGGACAUCCAUACGGAACUUUGUAUCCCACAAAACCCGAUUGCAUGGCGAGAUUAUUCAAUCCUCUAGAUAAUACCUCAGCCCCUAUAAUGAAUAAUGCAGGCGAUAAAGGAUCACCCUGACGGAGUCCUCUUGUAGAUUUAAAGAAACCAUGAGAUCCCCCAUUUAUAAUGACCGACAACCAGACGUUAGAGAUCAAUCUCCAUACUAGAUCAAUAAAUAUUUCUCCGAAGCCAAACCUCCUGAGAACACCAAUAAUAUGAUACCAUGCCACCCGAUCAUAUGCCUUAGACAUGUCAAGCUUCAUUACCACAUUGCCUCCUCUAUUCUUUUUCCCAAUACCCGAAACCAUCUCCUGAGCUAGCAGAAAGUUUUGUGUUAUAUUACGCCCCUGCACAAAGCCUGUCUGCUGGGGUGAAAUAAUUUUGGGCAAAACAUAAGCAACUCUAUCAGCUAAGAUCCUGGAUAAUAAUUUGUUGAAGAAGUUGCACAAACUGAUGGGCCUAUAUUGAGAAAAAUCCUGAGGAUUUGGCAUCUUCGGAAUUAACACAAUGGAAGUAGAUGUGAUGAAUCGAGGCAACUCUGCCCCACAGAAAAAACUGAGUAUUGCAUUAUAAACAUCUUGGGCGAUAACUUCCCAGGCAAAUGUAAAAAAUUUGCCAGUGAAACCAUCUGGGCCAGCAGCACUGUCGCCAUCCAUUGAGCUAACGACUCGAUAGACUUCUUCAAUCGAAGGAACUUCUUCCAAUUUUUCAUUGUCCUCUUCUGAAAUUAUGGUUGGGAUUAGGUGCCGCAUAUCAGAGGAAGACUCCGGAGAGCACGUGAAUAGGUCAGAGAAAUAUGAUAUUGCCUCAGAUGCUAUAUCAUCAUUUGUGUCCACCCAAACACCGGUUGACUUUUUGAUGCGGUGUAUCAUUCCGUGAGCACGUCUCUGUCUUACCACCGCAUGAAAAUACCUUGAAUUACGAUCUCCGUGUUUAAGCCAUUUGACUCUGGCCUUUUGGCUCCAAAAUUGCUCUUCAAUUGACAAUGCAUGCCGCAACUCUGCCUGAGCCUUGCUAAGCUGAAUUUGGCAUUCCUCCGAUACAUAUUGAUCCAUAGCUUCCUCUGCGCGUUGGACCUCCAAUUCCGCAGAACGAACAGCAUCAAAUACAUUCCCAAAGUAUUGUUUGUUCCAAGAUUGAAUUGCCCUCCUCGUUGCCAAUAAUUUAGAGCACAGAACACGCAGUGGAGAACCACCCACAUCUUGGUUCCAAGCAUGGCGAAUUACCUCCAAGAGUUCGGGUUUGGUUGUCCAGACGUUCAAAAAUCUGAAAGGGCAUGGGGUAUGAUCUGAUCGGUCAGAAAAUGAAAUUUUCAACGGUGCAUGGUCUGAAGGGUGUCUAGGUAGGUGAAGCACAGAAAUUACGUUUGAGAUAUCCAAACAAGCCCCAUUGAUUAAAAACCUAUCCAACCUCUUUGAAACCCGAGCUCUUCCUCUCCUAUUAUUAGACCACGUGAAACUAGCUCCAGAAAAUCCUACGUCAAAGACUCCGGCAUCUUCCAUAAAAGACAUGAAUUCCAUCCCCUCCGCUAUAGCAAACGGCCGCCCCCCUCGUUUUUACGCUACCUAAUACGGAUAGUACGGCAUAUAAUAAUAAUAAAAACAAUAAUAAUAAUAACUACUACUAUUACUCCGUCCGUCCCACUAUGAUAGUCAUGUUUUUCUUUUUUGUCUGUCCCAACUUGUAGUUCACUUUUUAAUUGAAGAAUGUAGUUGUCUUUUAAUUUCUCUAAAAUACCCUUAUUUAAUGUAAGUUGUCAUUACUAUGAACUAUUUUAUUUAAUAUAGAUUGUUAGUAUUGAAUAUAACCUAUCCCAUUUAAUGCAUUUAGAUUUUCCAAAACAUAUUGAUAUAUGAAAAGCCAACUUUAUUUAAUGUAAGGGUAUUUUAGGAAAAUAGCAAUCUAAAUUUGUUUUUCAACAAAGUUAACUACUUUUUCUUAAACUGUGUGAAAAAAAAAUUAGGACUAUCAAAAUGGGACAGAGAGAGUAAUUUUUACUGUACCAAUUUUAAAAUUUUUUGUAAGGUAGAACUUUACAUCGGGGUGCACUUGAAAGAGAUACACAUUAUGACUACCUAACUUGGGGUACCUCGCACAUUAAAGCACCUACUCUAUUAUCGAAUGGAACUAAUAUAGAAUCCUUUUCCACCAAUUAAAUAUGACAAGACUUCAAGUAUGGUUAUCCUCUCACUCUCGACUGUAUGAUUGAUGAUUACGUGGCAAACUUUUGAGUAACAAUAUGAAUGACACAAUUCACAGUUGAGUUGAUCUGUCCUAACUUGGAUGUCUAGAUAGUAAUAUAUUAAAGGACAGUUGAUCAUCUUUAUAUAAACUUCAGCAUUUCAUUACUAAUUGGUGCAGCACAUAAGUAUUGGCUCAGAAUUUGCAGGUAUCAAUCCAAAAAAAAAAACACACACACACAUAGAGAUUUUCGUUCAAGUAAUCCAGGAGAUGUCAUCUUCAACUGAAGUGGAGCAAAAAGAUGAUCACUUUGAAGAGUUUUUCCAAAGGUUGCAACCAAAGAAGCCGAUAGAAGGGGGCUUGCUGGCUAAUUACCAAGGGGUUUGGUUUGAUGCAGAUUUACUUCAAGCUACAUUAACCUUUCAAAAGAAUUUCAAAGCCAAUGAGUCUGACAUUAUUUUGGCCACCAUGCCGAAAUCAGGCACCACAUGGCUUAAAGCCCUCACCAUCAGUAUUGUUAACCGCAACAAUCAUUCAGUUGAUGAGAGCCCUUUGCUCUUCUCCAACCCUCAUUAUCUGGUUCCUUUUCUCGAGAUGUAUCUGUAGAAAGAUGGUAAUAUUCCAGAUAUAGAUGCUAUGCCUUGCCCGCGAAUCCUUGCAACUCACCUACCUUAUCAAUUCCUUCCAAGCACCAUUUUGGAUUGUUCCAACUGUCGAAUCAUCUACCUUUGCCGAAACCCUUUGGAUGUAUUCACCUCUACGCUGCACUUUGUGCUGCAAAAUCGUUUUGCAUCAAGGCCAUUGGCGUCUCUUGAUGUACCUUUUGAAGAGUUUUGUCAGGGCAUAUACCCUUAUGGUCCAUUCUGGGACCAUUGUUUGGGAUAUUGGAAUGCAAGCUUGAAGAACCCUCAAAAAGUGUUGUUUUUGAAGUAUGAGGAUUUUAAAAAAAAAGUAUCACUAGCUCCGUGAAGAAGAUAGCUAACUUUUUAGGUCAUCCAUUUUCAGCUGAGGAAGGGGAAGCAGGUUUGGUUGAAGAGAUAGCAACGCUAUGUAGCUUCGAAAAUCUUAAGAAUUUGAACUGUAACAAAGAGGGGGAGAUACAAACUGUUUUUAGAGCUAAGCAUAAUUCCGAUAGAAGGGGGCCUGGUGGCUAAUUACCAAGGCGUUUGGUUUGGUGCAGAUUUACUUCAAGCUACAUUAACCUUUCAAAAGCACUUCAAAGCCAUUGACUCUGACAUUAUGUUGGCCACCAUGCCGAAAUCAGGAACCACAUGGCUUAAAGCCCUCACCUUCAGUAUUGUUAACCGCAACAAUCAUUCAGUCGAUGAGAGCCCUUUGCUCUUCUCCAACCCUCAUUAUCUCGUCCCUUUUCUCGAGAUAUAUCUGUACAAGGAUGGUAAUAUUCCCGAUAUAGACUCUAUGCCUUGCCCACGAAUCCUCGCUACUCACCUCCCUUAUCAAUUCCUUCCUAGCAGCAUCUUGGAUUGCUCCAAUUGUCGAAUCAUCUACCUGUGCCGAAACCCUUUGGAUGUGUUCACUUCAGUGUUGCAAUUCUUACUGCAAAAUGGUCGUAUUUCAAGCCCAUCGAUGUCUAUUGAUGUACCUUUUGAACAGUUUUGUCAGGGCAUACACCCGUAUGGUCCAUUCUGGGACCAUUGUUUAGGAUAUUGGGAUGCAAGCUUGAAAAACCCUCAAAAAGUGUUGUUUUUGAAGUAUGAGGAUCUAAAAAAGGAUAUCAAUAGCUCCGUGAAGAAGAUAGCUGACUUUUUAGGAUAUCCAUUUUCAGCUGAGGAAGAGGAAGCCGGUUUGGUUGAAGAGAUAGCAAUGCUCUGCAGCUUCGAAAAUCUUAAGAAUUUGGACUGUAACAAGGAGGGGGAGAUAAAAGCCGCUUUUAGAGCCAAGCAUAGUUCCUUUUUCAGGAAGGCAGAAGUUGGUGACUGGGUAAAUGUACUAACUCCUUCCAUGGCCAACCGACUUGAAAAAUUGUUUCAAGAAAAGCUUGGGGAAUCCGGGUUGACGCUGGAAUUCAACAGCAAAUAGAUCAUUAUGCGUGUUUCAUGUGAGAUUUCUCAUUAGAUUGUCAUGCAUGUUUCAUGUGGAUAUCUCUCUCCCCUCUUGGACUAGUUCAGCAAAUCUGAUCAACGGUUCAGCUCCAAAAACGACAAAACAAAAGAGAAGACCUAAUACGCUUAUCUUCAACUAUUUGUUGCUUAUUGCUGUGUAAUGGUUGUAUCAGUUACUUAUCAUUCAGUUGUUGUAUGACUAAAAUAUCAUAAUGCGUGCACCAAAAUAUCUUUAUCAUUUUGACUGGGUUCAUUCCCUUCCUUGCUUUUUUCAAGCCGAAAUGAUAAAUAUGCUCAUAGAAUCGUGCUCAAAAUGUUUCCUGAUAGUAGGACUAUUCUCAUUUGAAACUCCAAGAAAAAAGGACAAAAGAAAAUAUUUGGGACUUAAGUCACAUAAUGGAUUUUAGUCAGGAGAACUUUUUGUAAAUCCUGUUUUGUGUUGUUUUUAAUCACUAACGAUGAAGUGUAUUGUGGUUUUGCUAUUUAGAGUUUUUGUUUAUCUGAACUACAAGUUUUUUUUUUUUUUUUUUGGCUUUCGUGCUUUGUUGGGGUGCCUUCACAAGCUCAUGAAUAAUCUGUUCAACCAUGUUACCAUAUACAUCAACAUAUGUAAGUGUUCUUGGGGAUUAAACCGUUCACCAUAUGUUUCCAAUUUUGACUUUGACUCGAUUAUCUCCUUUUCUUACUUUUCCAAAUGCAAAUGACGUCCUCACAGAAUUGUAGCUCAAAAUUUUGUGUCAUAAUGGUAAACAUCUCAUUGGAAAUAUGAGUGACUCAGUGCAAUAAUAACUAAAACUUCAACUAUCUAUUAUGUCAAGGGGAUGGUCUCUCCAAAAUUAUAAAGGAAAUAUAGAAAAAUAAAAUUCCGGGAGAUGUAAAUUUUCAUCCUUCGAGAUACUUGUUUUUUUGGAGCCAAGUUGUAAUACUAGUAUUUUAUAAAAGUUUGUACAAAACCAAUGGUCUCUUAAACUGUUGACCACCACAAAGACCUUUAAGUGUCUUUGUGGGGUGGGAGGUCAAGGUUCGACCCUUAUCUCCCAUCACUUGCCACUAAUAUGUGGCUUCUUCAAAUCCAAAUGAGUGUAUAUUGCACUUGUCUGAUAUGAUGAUAGUUCAGUUCCCAUCAAUUUUCCUUGAUUCAAAUGGAUCCUCACUUUAAUAGGUUAGUGUAAGUGUAGGAAUAGUGUCAAUUGACACACAAAAAAAAAAAAAAAAAAAGGACGAAAGUUUGUACAGGAAACACAAAUAGUUGCUUAACUCUAUAGCAAUAACUCUAUAUUAGGGUUUUAUUUUUUUGGGGUAAUUAGUAAUUCAGUAUCUGCCCCAUUUGAGCCAUUUAUUGCACCAUAUGGUUACUAGUAGCAACCGGUGCUCAGUGUCAAAAUCAAUUGGCCAUUAGUGGAACAGUUCAAGAGCUUAUUAAUGUUAUUGGAAGCCAUCUAUUGCACCAUGUGGUUACUAGUAGCAACCGGAGGUGCCAUUGGUCUAAAACUAUGUGUGAUAAAGAAUUUGAGUUUUUAUCUCAAAAUUAAUUGACCAUGAGUGGAAUAGUUCGAGAUCUUAUUAAUGUUAUUGGAAAUUCUUAAAAAAUUGAGGCAGGAUAUUUAGUUUAUUAACACCCCAUUAGAUGUGACUUGACAAAUGGACUUAAGCCAAUAUAGAAAGAACCAAAUCGCCGGUGAAACUAUAAACGAGGGUUAUGUUACCCUCUUUAUAGUUGCGUUUGUUUGUUAGGUUUUGCAUUCGUCUAUUACCCGUUUAUAGUUGAGUUUGUUGCUUUGGCCAUACACUUUUCCUUUUGCCUAAAUUUGAGUUUCACUUUUGCAUUGUCUCUUUCUUGUUUUGGGAGACUAGGAAGUUUGUUCUAAUCUCUGUGUUCUUCUUCGUCAUAGUGGAAUUUGCUCACCUCCUCCCUUGGAUGUAAGUCUAAUUGACCAAACCACAUAAAUCUUUGUAUCAUUGUCUUUUAUUAUUUUUCUCCACAUUUUAUACAGCCUUCGUUAUUAGUUUUGUGGAUUGUCAAAUCAACUUUUCCGAAUUACCUGUGGCCGAAUCCUAACAAAUUGUUAUUAGAACAGUUAUCCCGAGCUAAGUUUUUUGACAAUCGUUGUGACAAUAAUGACAACCUCUAUUGAAAAAUUUAAACAAAGUGUCAAUUUUGGUUUGUGGCAGUUUAAGAUGAAAGCUUUCUCAUCCAAGACAGAGUAGAAGUAGUGCUGCUCAAAAAGGAGAAAAAUAUAGAAACAAUUACAGAUGAGCAAUUCGAAGAAAGGAUAAUAACUCUCUCGGUAAUUAUUCUAACCCCUCUCUGGUGAGGUUUUGCAUGAAGUUGCUCAAGAAAAGACAACCAGAGACUUGUGCGAUAUAUUGGAGCUUUUGUACAUGGGGUUUUGUGUGAAGUUACUUAAGAAAAGAUAACCAAAGACUAGUAAGAUUUUUUGGAGCUUUUGUGCAUGAAGAAGACGACGGUGAAUUGGCUCUACUUUAAGCAAAGUUUAUAUAUGUUUCAUAUGUCUAAUCUUUUUUUCUCUAUAAUUUUUAUAAUUUUGCAUCUUAAUAAAUUUGAUUUCAUUAUUAUAAAUUUGGCAAAUAUAGAGAUUACAAUUAUGGAUGAGGAUUAAGCUCUGUUAUUGUUGUGGUCUCUACCCUAGUCAUUUAAGCAUUUUAGAGAAACAAUGCUUUAUGGUAAAGAUUUAAUUUCUUACACAGAAAUUAAGUUUAUCCUUAAAUCUAAAGAACAUAUUAAUAAGGAUAUUAUUGGGAAAACUAGAGAGAGUCAAACAGAUGCCUUGUUUUUUCGGGGUAGUUCCACGCAUAAAAAUUCGGUGUGCAAACAUUGUUGCAAAAGGCACCAUUUAAUCUCUAAAUGCAUUAAAUUGAAAAAGAAAGAAAAUCUUAAAGAGAAAAGUGAUUUGAAAAUUAAUGAAACUGUCGAGGCUAGUAUUGUGGCUGAUGAGGGUGAUGGAACUAUUCUUUUUCUUUUCUUUUUUUUUUUCAAAUGAGCUAUACCAUUAAUCUCGAAUGGCCAUAUGAAACUAUUAUCUUAGCAAGUGAAAAUAAUUUAAAGUCAAACAAUGAGUAGAUUUUAGAUUCGAUUGUUCGUAUCAUGUGCCUAUUAGGGAUUGGUUUUUAACAUAUGAAUCAAGUGAAAGUGGAGUUGUUUUAACUGCCAAGAAUGCAGUCUGUAAAGUUGUUGAUAACAGUUCAAAUUAAAAUGCAUGACAGUACCAUUAGGAUGCUCAUUGGUGCUAGAUAUAUUCCACAUUUGAAGAAAAAUCUCAUCUUUGGGCACCUUUGAGUUUAAUGGAGGUAAGUACGCAGCCGAAGGUGGAGUUCUAAAAGUCACACAAGGUGCUCUUGUUGUUACGAAGGUGCACAAGUCUGAUACUUGAUAUAUUUUGAAGGGAUCUACUAUUCCAGGUGCUGCUGUUGUUUUCACAUUAAUUUUGCCUGAUUCCAAUUUUAUCAUGUGCUGUUGAGACUUUAAUGAUUUUUUUCCCGAUGGAAUCUAUUGAGCCGUUUGUGAUUUUUGACUCGUUGAGAUCCAUUGGAACUUUCAUGAUUUUUCACUCCUUGGGAUCUAUUAAGGCUUUUGUGAUUUUGGCUGUCUAUUGGAUCAAUUUGCUAAAUCUUUUUUCGUUUUUUGACUCGUUAGAAUUUAUUAAAACUUUUAUAAUUUAUCUAUUGAGAUCCAUUGAUACUUUUGUGAUAUUAGCUCGCUAUGGCUCCUAAGAACAAGGUGGAACAAGUUUACUAUUUUUUCGAUUUUUUAUAUAUCGGAUGCAAAAUCAAGGUGGAGAUGUGUUAGCAUUAAAUAGCAUGCAAGUGGCUUUCCAUCCUCCAUGUCUUUUGGUCAGAUGAAAUGGGGUAAGAAGCUAAAUUUCCACCGUCCCAUAGUAGUAGCUCAACCACUAAUAUGAAGGCCAAGUUUUGUUUUCCUUUGAAGUCGAAAAUCUGCAAUAAUCUUGGUUCAUAUAGUGUACAAAUUUCAGUCGCAAUUUUGCCUAUAAAAAGAGGGACUUCAAAAGCCUUGGAUUGCACCACACUACAUUGCUUAAACCCCGAGAGACAGACAGCUCAGGGAGAUUUUUCCAUUUGUCUCAAUUUAUAUUUCUUUUUUGUAUUGUCUCUUUCCUGUUUUGGAAUAUGUUUUAAACUUUGUAUACUUCUUUAUUGGAAUUUGCUCACCUCCUGCUGUAGACAGGUUUAAUUGACCGAACCACGUAAAUUUUUAUUUCUUUGUCUUUUAUUAUUUUGUUUACAUUUUAUUAUAAUUAUCGUUAUUACUUUUGUGGUUUAUCAAAUUAACUUUAACAAUCCAGGUUGGAUUCUAACACAUGAGAUGUCGAAUAUCUGUAAAAUGAUAUCUUCAACCGAAGUGGAGCAAAAAGAUGAUCACUUUAAAGAGUUUUUCCAGAGGGUACAACUAUAACUGUCAAACAAACCCAUUUAACUAAGUUUAUACAUACUCGUCCAUAAAUAGAUGGGUAUGGGUAUCUUAAAUUUUUCCAUAUGGAUAUAAAUGGGUGACCCAAUAAUACCCAUUUAAUAAUAAAUGGGUAUUAUUGAGUAACACAUCAAAUCCAAUUAACCCAUUUAGAAUCGUCUUCCCCCAAACCUCCUAUCUUCCCCCACCCAUUUUUUUUUUCAAAAUUUUCAUUUUGUCAUGAUGUUAACUACUUUUGUUACAUUAUUAUUAUUAUUUGUUGAUUUUAUCUUAUCAUUUUAUUUUCUCUUAGUUUGUUAACUUGCUCGUUUUUCAGCAUUACUAAUUUAUGACAAGUUUUAACCUCUUUUCUUAUUUUUCCAAAAUGAAAAUUUAAAUUUACACACGAAAAAAUGUUAUAAGUUCAAAAUUUUGAGAUUAAGUUUUCAUGUUAACUUUUAUAGUACUUAGUUCAAAUUUUUAUAUUCUUAUUGUUUAAUUAUUAAAUAGUAUGUAAAUUUGCAACAUAGAGUACAUAUGGGAAAAAAUUGAUAAUUAGGUUUAUUGAGCAUUAUAAAUAAAUAUUUAAAACUAAUGAUGGGUGCAAAGGAUGGUAUAAAUUGAUAACUUAGUUUGCAAAUAUGAAUUUAAAUGAAUUUACAAAAAGUUAAAAUAAAUGAGUUAUAAAUGAGUAAUUGGGUUACCCAAUUCAUUUUUUGACUUACCUAUUUAUACUCAUCUAAUAAAAUGGGUAUAAAUGGAUUGACUCACUUAUACCCAUUACCCAUUUUACCAACCCAAACCCGCCCUAAUCGCCUAUUUUGACACCUCUAGUUGCAACCAAAGAAGCUUGGAACAGGGGAGCUGCUGGCUAACUGUCAAGGCGUUUGGUUUGGUGCAUAUUUACUUCAAGCUACAUUAACCUUUCAAAAGCACUUCAAAGCCAAACAUUGUCACUGAUUGGACCUAAAUGAAAUAAACUUGAAGAUUUAGGCUAGAAAGUGUUUAAAAUUAAGAGUUUAAAGUGCAAAGUAUCCAGAAUACAAAUGUAAGAUACAAAGUGAAAAGGCAAUAAAAGUUUAAGGGUAUAAAGUGAAAUUAGUCCAAUUAGGAUUAACCCCUGAGCAAGUGCCAACACUCAACUUGUAAGGUUGGAGCAGGAUCCUUUCUUCUAAUAACAGGCGCGGUUUUCUCCUAUCUUAAUUUGCAAACAAUGACUUCCUUGGACCUUGUUUCAUUUUCCUGGUCAUUUUACGCACUAAGCCUGGCAAAUCUUAGUAAAUGAAUUUUUUAUAGGAAAUUCGUUCAAACCGUCUCGUAUUUUGCCAAAUAAAUUUAUUUUUCCUUUAUUUUUAAAAAUGAUAACUUUAUAUUUCUUGAAGUAUUAAAGGAUAGCCUCUAACUAGUAUCCAGGGGCGGAUUGAAGGGGUGCACUGGGGGCACAGGCCCUACUGCUUCCCUUAAAUUUCUAUAACAGUUAUACAAUUUUGACAUAAUUGUAAAGGUGCCUCCAAAGAUUUUUUAGAAAAAAUAUGAAAGAAUAAGUCACAAAAUUUAUAUCAUUCACUUUUCUCCUCUGGUCCCCCAUUUCCCCCUAACAAUGCCAAGUACCAAUUAUAUCAGUCUUUCCUUUUUGUCCCCACUCCUCAAGUUCCCUUUCCUCCUCUGGUCCCCCAUUUUCCCUUCACAACCGACGCCCCUCUUUCUUCCCCCAUUUGUACUUGUUGGUGAAUUUAUUUUUUAUUUUUUGCUUAAAAAAUUAGAAAAAGAGUAGAUAAAAAAUUUUAGUAUUAUUUUUGCUCCCACUAAGAUUUUUUUUUGGCUCCGCCCCUGCUAGUAUCUAUUAUCGUUCUUCUAGCUUCUAUGCCUCGCUACCUAAUAUGGAUAGUACGGCAUAUAAUAAUAAUAAAAACAAUAAUAAUAAUAACUACUACUAUUACUCCGUCCGUCCCACUAUGAUAGUCAUGUUUUUCUUUUUUGUCUGUCCCAACUUGUAGUUCACUUUUCAAUUGAAGAAUGUAGUUGUCUUUUAAUUUCUCUAAAAUACCCUUAUUUAAUGUAAGUUGUCAUUACUAUGAAUUAUUUUAUUUAAUAUAGAUUGUUAGUAUUGAAUAUAACCUAUCCCAUUUAAUGCAUUUAGAUUUUCCAAAACAUAUUGAUAUAUGAAAAGCCAACUUUAUUUAAUGUAAGGGUAUUUUAGGAAAAUAGCAAUCUAAAUUUGUUUUUCAACAAAGUUAACUACUUUUUCUUAAACUGUGUGAAAAAAAAAUUAGAACAAUCAAAAUGAGACAGAGAGAGUAAUUUUUACUGUACCAAUUUUAAAAUUUUUUGUAAGGUAGAACUUUACAUCGGGGUGCACUUGAAAGAGAUACACAUUAUGACUACCUAACUUGGGGUACCUCGCACAUUAAAGCACCUACUCUAUUAUCGAAUGGAACUAAUAUAGAAUCCUUUUCCACCAAUUAAAUAUGACAAGACUUCAAGUAUGGUUAUCCUCUCACUCUCGACUGUAUGAUUGAUGAUUACGUGGCAAACUUUUGAGUAACAAUAUGAAUGACACAAUUCACAGUUGAGUUGAUCUGUCCUAACUUGGAUGUCUAGAUAGUAAUAUAUUAAAGGACAGUUGAUCAUCUUUAUAUAAACUUCAGCAUUUCAUUACUAAUUGGUGCAGCACAUAAGUAUUGGCUCAGAAUUUGCAGGUAUCAAUCCAAAAAAAAAAACACACACACACAUAGAGAUUUUCGUUCAAGUAAUCCAGGAGAUGUCAUCUUCAACUGAAGUGGAGCAAAAAGAUGAUCACUUUGAAGAGUUUUUCCAAAGGUUGCAACCAAAGAAGCCGAUAGAAGGGGGCUUGCUGGCUAAUUACCAAGGGGUUUGGUUUGAUGCAGAUUUACUUCAAGCUACAUUAACCUUUCAAAAGAAUUUCAAAGCCAAUGAGUCUGACAUUAUUUUGGCCACCAUGCCGAAAUCAGGCACCACAUGGCUUAAAGCCCUCACCAUCAGUAUUGUUAACCGCAACAAUCAUUCAGUUGAUGAGAGCCCUUUGCUCUUCUCCAACCCUCAUUAUCUGGUUCCUUUUCUCGAGAUGUAUCUGUAGAAAGAUGGUAAUAUUCCAGAUAUAGAUGCUAUGCCUUGCCCGCGAAUCCUUGCAACUCACCUACCUUAUCAAUUCCUUCCAAGCACCAUUUUGGAUUGUUCCAACUGUCGAAUCAUCUACCUUUGCCGAAACCCUUUGGAUGUAUUCACCUCUACGCUGCACUUUGUGCUGCAAAAUCGUUUUGCAUCAAGGCCAUUGGCGUCUCUUGAUGUACCUUUUGAAGAGUUUUGUCAGGGCAUAUACCCUUAUGGUCCAUUCUGGGACCAUUGUUUGGGAUAUUGGAAUGCAAGCUUGAAGAACCCUCAAAAAGUGUUGUUUUUGAAGUAUGAGGAUUUUAAAAAAAAAGUAUCACUAGCUCCGUGAAGAAGAUAGCUAACUUUUUAGGUCAUCCAUUUUCAGCUGAGGAAGGGGAAGCAGGUUUGGUUGAAGAGAUAGCAACGCUUUGUAGCUUCGAAAAUCUUAAGAAUUUGAACUGUAACAAAGAGGGGGAGAUACAAACUGUUUUUAGAGCUAAGCAUAAUUCCUUUUUCAGGAAAGUGCCAUUGACUGAAUCUUAAAUUCACCAAACAUUGUUACUGAAUGGACCUAAAUGAAAUAAACUUGACGAUUUAGGCCAUAAACUUUUUAAAAUUAAGAGUUUAAAGUGCAAAGUAUCGAGAAUACAAAUUUAAGAUACAAAGUGAAAAAAUGAUAAAAGUUUAAGGGUAUAAAGUGAAAUUAGUCCAAUUAGGAUUAACCCUUAAGCAAGGGCCAACGCUCAUCAGAUUAAUGACUUCCUUGGAUCUUGUUUCAUUUUCCUUGUCAUUUUACGCACCAAGCCUGGCAAAUUUUAGUAAAAGAAUUUUUUUAUAUGAAAUUCGUUUAAACCGUUUUAGUAUUUUGUUAAAUAAAUUUUUUCAUCCUUUAGUUUUUAAAUAAUAACUUUAUAUCUCUUGAAGUAUUGAAAGGUAGCCUCAAACUAGCAUCUAUUAUCGUUCCUCUAACUUCUAUGCCUUGCUACCUGAUACGGAUAGUACGGCGUAUAACGAUAAUAAUAAUAACUACUCCUAUUAAUUUUUACUGCACCAAUUUUAAAAUUUUUUGUAAUGUAAAACUUUACAUCAAGAUGCACCUUAAAGACAUACAUAUUAUGAUCACCUAACUUGUGGUACCUCGCACAUUAAAGCACCUACUUUAUUAUCUGUAGCCAGCUAUGAUCCAAUGGAAUUAAUAUAGAAUCCUUUUCCACCAAUUAAAUGUCACAAGACUUCAAGUAUGGUUAGCCUCUCACUCUCAUCGACUGUGUGAUUGAUGCACACUGAUAUUUGACAUAUGAAAGAGAGGUCUCUCUUAGUAGUAAUAUUUAUUUUGUAACUUUUAUUGAUGAUUUUAUCGGAAAAAUUUUGUGUUUUGUUUUGAAAUCUAAAGAUCAGGUUUCAUAUGUGUUCAAAGAUUUUCGUAGCUAAGUUGAGAGGGACACUAACAAAUAGUUAAGUACUGAGGAUCAUUUGAAAACUAAUGCAAGUCUCAUGGGAUCAAACUAGAAGUAUCAAUUGAUUUUGAUCAUAGGGGAGCUGAAACAGAGCAGUGAGAGAAUAUUGAUGAAAGUGAUACUGCUACUAGGGGCGGGCAAAAUUAUCCGCUAACCCGAAAACCCGUCAUAUCCGAUCCGAUCCGAUCCAAAAAUUAGGAUAUCCUAUUUUUAUUAUUUGAUUGGGUCGAAAGAGGAUCGGAUACCCGUUAAGAUGCGGGGCGGGUUAGAGUCACAUAAUUAAAAAUCCGCGGGUACCCGAUCCGCCCCGAAAAUAUAUAUUUUUUAUUUUUAUACACACACUAUAAAAUAAUAAGUUAGAACUAAAUAAGUAAUUUUAUUGAACAAAUUGCAUUACAAAUAUGAGAGACUAUAGUUUAUUUACAAGAUUCAUUUGUAAAGGCCAUGAUCUUAUAUUUUAUAGAAAAAAGUUUAAUUAAUGUGAAACAUAUAUAUAUAUAUUAAAAAUUGUGUUACUUAUUUCAAACUUUUUAUUGAUUUUGAAUUCUUUUAAUUUUUUUCCUUUAUCUUAUAUUCUCUUCACAUGCUUGUUUCUUGGUGGGAAAUCUUUUUUUUAGAAAAAAAAUUUAUUAAAUGUCAGAUGAAUGUGUAAAAUAUACAAUUAAAUUGGUAUAAAUCAUUUUUUUUAAAAAAAAUUGAAUGAUAAAUGGAGCGGGGUGGGUACCAGCUAACCCGACCUUAUCUCAGCGGGUACUCGAUUAUAGGGUACCCGCUAAUAUGCGAGGCGGGUAAGGGUCAGAAAAUGGCUUACCCGCAAGGCGCGGGUCGGAUCAGCCAAAUGGUGAAUGGGUUGGGUACCCGACCCGCGUCCACCCCUAACUGCUACUGACGAACUUGAGCAAGAGACGUAGUCAACUUCACCAUCACCACCACAAGAUGAGUCUAGAAGAUCUACCAGAAAGAGGAGACAUUCUAGUAGAUAUAAUCCUAAUGAGUAUGUGUUGCUAAUAUAUGGAGAGGAACUUGAGUUCUACAGUGAGGUUCUAGAGUACGAGAGAAAAGAAGAUUGGUUGGAAACUAUGCAAGAGGAGAUAAUGUCCUUACAUAAGAAUCACAGCUAUGACCUGAUGAAAUUGCCUAAGAGCAAGAGAGCACUAAAAAUGGAAUAGAUUUUUAAGUUGAGGACUCAAGAGCACAACUCACUACUAAAGUAGAAGGCAAGAUUGGUUGUGAACAAAUUCAGUAAGAAGGGUGAUUUGAAAUGCGAUUGAGAUGAAAUUUUAACCAUACAAUUCUCUUGUCGAGCUCUACGCAUCUACAGAUUUAGUUGUUGAAUUUUCUCUUCAUUUGGUAAUAUCUUUCCAAAUCCACUUCUUUGACAUUUAUAGUUUGGGAGAUGAAUUUGUUAUAAUUUUACUUGAUUGAUAUUGGUGAUAUUGUUGUUAUCCGGAUAUUUUUGGUAAACCUGUGUGUUCCCAUUACUGUGAUAUUGGAGAUUUUUUAACUGGACUAGGUCCCAUGAUUUUUUCAAAUUGGAUUUUCUAUGUUAAAAAUUUUGGUGUCACGUGUCUUUUGGUUUUUUUUUUUUUUUUUGCAUUUUAUUAUUAUUAUUGAUAUUAUUGUUUGGUGAUUUAGUUUGUUCCUAUCUUAACUGAUACUUGAAAAAAGUAAUUUGUUCUGAAUUAAAUAUGAUAUUAUAUGCCUGCACCAGUACCCUUUUCCAUCACUAUCUUGGAUGUCUAGAUAAUAUAUUGACGGACGGUUGAUCAUCGCUAUAUAAACUUCAGCAUUUCAUUAUUAAUUGGUGCAGCACUUAAGUAUUGGCUCAGAAUUUUCUGGUAUCAAUCCAAAAAAAAAAACACACACACACACACACAUAGAGAUUUUCAUUCAAGUAAUCCAGGAGAUGUCAUCUUCAACUGAAGUGGAGCAAAAAGAUGAUCACUUUGAAGAGCUCUUCCAGAGGUUGCAACCAAAGAAGCCUGUAGCAGGGGGCCUGGUGGCUAAUUACCAAGGCGUUUGGUUUUAUGCAGACUUGCUUCAAGCCACAUUAACCUUUCAAAAGCACUUCAAAGCCAUUGACUCUGACAUUAUUUUGGCCAGCAUGCCGAAAUCGGGAACCACAUGGCUUAAAGCCCUCACCUUCAGUAUUGUUAACCGCAACAAUCAUUCAGUCGAUGACAGCCCUUUGCUCUUCUCCAACCCUCAUUAUCUCGUCCCUUUUCUCGAGAUAUAUCUGUACAAGGAUGGUAAUAUUCCCGAUAUAGACUCUAUGCCUUGCCCACGAAUCCUCGCUACUCACCUCCCUUAUCAAUUCCUUCCUAGCAGCAUCUUGGAUUGCUCCAAUUGUCGAAUCAUCUACCUGUGCCGAAACCCUUUGGAUGUGUUCACUUCGUUGUUGCAAUUCUUGCUGCAAAAUGGUCUUAUUUCAAGCCCAUCGAUGUCUAUUGAUGUACCUUUUGAAGAGUUUUGUCAGGGCAUACACCCGUAUGGUCCAUUUUGGGACCAUUGUUUGGGAUAUUGGGAUGCAAGCUUGAAAAACCCUCAAAAAGUGUUGUUUUUGAAGUAUGAGGAUCUAAAAAAGGAUGUCAAUAGCUCCGUGAAGAAGAUAGCCGACUUUUUAGGAUAUCCAUUUUCAGCUGAGGAACAGGAAGCCGGUUUGGUUGAAGAAAUAGCAAUGCUCUGCAGCUUCGAAAAUCUUAAGAAUUUGGACUGUAACAAGGAGGGGGAGAUACACGGCGCUUUUAGAGUUAAGCAUAGUUCCUUUUUCAGGAAGGCAGAAGUUGGUGAUUGGGUAAAUGUACUAACUCCUUCCAUGGCCAACCGACUUGAAAAAUUGUUUCAAGAAAAGCUUGGGGAAUCCGGGUUGACGCUGGAAAUCAAGAGCAAAUAGAUCACUAUGCGUGUUUCAUGUGAGAUUUCUCAUUAGAUUGUCAUGCAUGUUUCAUGUGGAUAUCUCUCUCCCCUCUUGGACUAGUUCAGCAAAUCUGAUCAACGGUUCAGCUCCAAAAACGAGAAAACAAAAGAGAAGACCUAAUACGCUUAUCUUCAACUAUUUGUUGCUUAUUGCUGUGUAAUGGUUGUAUCAGUUACUUUUCAUUCAGUUGUUGUAUGACUAAAAUAUCACAUAUGCGUGCACCAAAAUAUCUUUAUCAUUUUGACUGGGUUCAUUCCCUUCCUUGUUUUUUUCAAGCCGAAAUGAUAAAUAUGCUCAUAGAAUCGUGCUCAAAAUGUUUCCUGAUAGUAGGACUAUUCUCAUUUGAAACUCCAAGAAAAAAGGACAAAAGAAAAUAUUUGGGACUUAAGUCACAUAAUGGAUUUUAGUCAGGAGAACUUUUUGUAAAUCCUGUUUUGUGUUGUUUUUAAUCACUAACGAUGAAGUGUAUUGUGGUUUUGCUAUUUAGAGUUUUUGUUUAUCUGAACUACAAGUUUUUUUUUUUUUUUUUU